rnacentral:lncRNA from 1 species
UUCUUGAGUUGGCAAUUUGUCUUUCCUCCUCCUAUUUUGCAAGAUAAUGAUAAUCAGAGCCACAACCAAAAUUGUGGAGGCAAUUGGCAGAGCUACAUAUAGUAUGAGCUUAGUUUUUGCCUUGGAAUUUCUAAGAGGUCUAGUUUUGCAGUUUGGAACAUGAAGCCGAGCUGCACCACACAAGGCUUCAUUCCCCUUAAAUGAUUCGAUUGUGUAGUUUUCAAAUGAUCCUCCUUCAGGAAUUUCACCUUCAAGCCUAUUAAAAGAGACAUUGAAAUAUUUGAGAUAACGGAGUUUCUCUAAGGAUUUGGGAAUCUCUCCAAAUAGAUUAUUUCUUGACAAGUCCAAGAAUUCCAAACUCAACGAUUCAUCAAAAGACUCAGGAAUAGAACCCGUGAUUCUAUUAUUGGAUAAGGAAAAAUGAGUGAGGUCCUUGAGAUCUGCAACUCCAGUUGGGAUAUCACCUGAGAACUGAUUGUUCGACAAAUCCAAACUACUCAAAACUUUCCAUUUUCCAAUGUCAAUUGGCAGUGGACCACUCAGAGAAUUUGAAGACAAGUAUAGGAUGAGGAGAUAGUUAAGCCUUGUCAACGUUGACGGUAUUGAAGAGGAAAACAUAUUGGAGUCUAGAAAUAGUUGCCUUAAUGAAGUGAGAUCACCUAAGCAAGUAGGUAUUGGCCCAGACAAUUUGUUAUUGGUUAAGAACAAGAAAGCCAAUUUGUUUAGAUGACAUAACUCAGUUGGGAUGGAUCCCUCUAACUUAUUGUCCUUAAGAGAAAGACUUUGCAACUCUUCCAAUCCUCCAACUGUAGUAGGAAUCUGUCCUAUCAAUUUAUUGCCUCCUAGCUCAAGGCUUAUCAAGUGACUUAAGUUUCCAAUUUCACUGGGGAUGCUACCCCUGAUGUUGCAUGCAGAAGCAGAGAACUCUUCAAGAGAACUUGAGAGAUUUCCUACCACUCUUGGAAGUUCACCACUAAUAAAUGAGUUGAUCUCGAAAAAAAGGCUCUCCAAGACUCUACAGUUUGUCAAAGAAAAGAGAAAGCUCAUUCCUGAGGAAGUUAAAUUAUUAUUCGCCAGGUUGAGAAUCUUUAAAUUUCUUAGAUUUCCCAGAUUAUCAGGAAUGGACCCUGAAAAGUAAUUACUAGACAUGUCAAGAAGAGUAAGCUGAGAGGCAUUGGAAAUAUACAUUGGGAUCGAGCCGGCAAGGUGAUUGAAACCAAGAUAUAGUUCCUCCAUGUUUGGAAGGAAAAGGCCCAUGUUUGAUGGAAGAUGGCCAGAGAGCUGAUUUGUAGCCAAAGAAAUCAUCCUUAGAGUUGAAAUAUUGAACAGUUGUGGAGGAAUAGAACCAGCAAUAUUGUUAAAUUGUAAAUUCAACCAAUUUAGAUUCUUUAGGUUGCCAAUCUCUUGUGGUAUUAUACCUGCCAUAAAUUUUAUCAAACAAAAAUAUUAGACAAAUAUGAGGAAGAAAAUAGUUUAUAUAUAUGAAACAUUUGCUUAUAUUUUUUAUAAUGUGUACAAUUAUAGACAAUUAGAAUCAACAAUAUUUACAAAAAAAAAAUUAAUUCACAAUAAGUUUAAAUUGAAUAUUUUAGGUUUAAAGUUGGAAUAAGUUCAAAAUGAGAAGGGAUUGUAUGAAAUUGUGAUUCCACGUCAUGAUCAGAUUUUUCCUCCUAUUUUUAGCUUUUUCUUCUUGAAAAAAUUAAAAUCUAACUAAAAAAGUUGAAAAUUAGGAGGAAAAAUCUGAUUUAUCAUUCUCCUAUUGGAAAGGAAUAAAAAUGACGUGAAAUUACAGUUUUAUACAAUCACUUCUCGUUCAAGAUAUAGAAAAUAAUGAUGAAAUAAAUGAUAAAGAACAAACAUUCAUAAGUCAAAUAAAAUAAUUAAGAACAUAAAAAUAAAUCAAAUAUGAUUUUUGGUUCCUUGAAGUUUUGUUUGGCCUCAACAGGGAUAAACGUAAAUAAUGGACUUAAAAAAAAAAGAAAUAUACUAAUUGCAAUAACUAUGAAAAAUUUUAUAAUUAUUGUAGAAUAAUCAAAACACAGAAAGCGGUUGAGCAAAAACAAAGUUCAAAUUAAUAAAAAACUAUCGGUAAAAGUUGCAAAUUAAUAAAAAUAAUUUAGCUCUUUCUUAUACAUUCACCUGUAAAAUUGCUAUGGGAACAAUCAAACUCCAUAAGAAGAGUUAAAUUCACAAUUUGUUUAGGAAUUUCACCUGCAAUUAUAAAAUUCACAUUUCAAAUUCAAAAUUCAUCUCCUAGCAACGAUUAUAAGAAUAAAAUUAAGGUAUAAUGACUUGUUUAGCUCUUCAAUUUUAUUAAAAAGAAUCAUUUUAGUCUUUCAUUUAAUUUUUCAUCUCUUUUAGCUCUUAAACUUGCGAUGUUUGUCAAAUCAUCCCAAAAUGAAUUGAAAAUUCCAUGUGCUUGCCACAUCAACAAUUAGUUUUUUAAAUUUUAAAAAAUUCUAUUUUAUUGCUAACGUGUCAGCAAAGUAAACAAACAUUAACUUUUUCAUACAUUUUUUUGGGCUGAUAUAACAAAUAAUACAAGUUCAAGAGCUAAAAGAAAAGGAAAAUUAAAUAAAGAGUUAGAAUGACUUUUUUUUAUAAAGUUGAAGGGCUAAAUAAAUAAUUAUUCCUAAAGUAAAUAAAGCACGUUAGCAAGGUAUUUCACACAUACACACUUCCAAGCCAAGUUGGAACUAAAAGUAUAUUUCUCUCAUCAUUUUCAUGUAGUUUAUUCUUCAAUGUUCUUUUGAAAAAUUUCAACUAUGUAUUCGUUUAAUAAAUAAAUUUAUAUUUUCAAUCUCAAUAGAAGAUUGAUCUAAAUUAUUAUAGUCAUUACCUUAAUUUCAUUAAAAAAAAAUCGUUCCUUGCAUCUCAAAGUACUUAAAAAAAAAGUAAACACUUCAAAAGGUUUUAAAAAUGGUUAGCAUAUGUUACCAUCAAAGUGGUUCCGACCAAUAUAGAUGUAUUGAAGCAUACUCAAAUUCCCAAUUUCUAUUGGUAGGCUCCCCUCCAUUUGGUUAUACGCUAAAGAUAACAUUUGUAACUCUUUGCACUUGAAUAGACUGGCAGGAAUUCUACCAGAAAGCAGGUUACGACUCCAGUACAAUCCUUUCAAAUUUGGAAGAUGAUCAAACAUAUCUUUUGGGAUAUGACCAGUGAGAUUAUUGGAGGAGAAAUGGAUGACUUCUAGCAAAAGCAAAUCACGUGGAACAGAGGGUAUGGAACCAGAAAGCAUAUUGUAGCUUAGAUAUAUUUCUUGCAACGAAGAGAUAUUGAAGAUGGUGGAGGGAAUUGAACCUGAAAUCUGGUUUCCAGACAAAUACAAGACCUCUAGCUUUGACAAAUAGGCUAAAGAGAAUGGAAUAACACCUUUGAAGUUGUUUUGGUCCAAAAACAACCUUCGAAGUUCAGUUAAUGAUCCCAACCAUGAUGGGAUUUCUCCACUGAAGGAGUUGUUACCAAAGCUUACAUAUUUCAGCCGUCGCAAAUUGGAUAACUGGACAGGUAAUCCGCCAUAGAAACUAUUGUUUGUGACAUGAAGAAGAGAAAGGAAUGACAAAUUUCCCAAGUGAGGUGGAAGGGUGCCUACGAGUCCCAACCUAGUAAGGUUUAGAGCUGUGACUCUACGGUGCUUGGAUCCACAACUUACACCAAACCAAUUGCAAACAGGGGCAGAGGCUGACCAGUUAGUCGUCAAGACAUUUUCAGGAUCCUGAAUAACAUGAUCUUUUAGUGCUAGAAGAGCUGACUGAUCUGUAAGUAUGGUUGUUAAUUUCAUAGAGAAAGUAGGCAUAGAGAAAUGGAAGAUGAUAAGAAGAGCUAAGUUGAGGAAAGUAUUCCCCAUUUGAAUUUGGGUGUUUAUGAAGCUACCAACAAAGGCAGAACGGAGAUUGCUAGACAGAUAAUUGAAUGAUCACUAACCGUAUGACCACACAACUUUUACAUAAUACGUGUAUGUAUAUAUAAAGGGAGUUUAUGUUGUAAUUUCUUCAUGCAAGAUUGCAAAUUAAUAUGAUUUACGUAGAAAUUACGGAAUUUAUUAUAAGACGUGAUAAUAUAAUUAUGUAAUUAUUGCUUAAAAUUUUUCUUUCUAAAUUUCAUAUUUCUUAAGAAAUUACAGUAAUAAAUUUUACAUAGAAAUAACAUUAACAUUAUUGUCAGUACAGGAGAAUGUGAAUUUAAAUGCAUUGAAACACAUUUAUCUUCUUAUAUAAGUAUUAGCAAAAAAAAUUAUGGAUAGUUCUAGACAUGUUAUAAAAAGAAUUUGAUAUAACAAGAUUUAGAAAAUAAUUUGCAUUAUUUAUUUUAGGAAAUUAUUGAAUAAAGAGAUCAAGAAUUUUAAAUUUAAAAAAUUUUAAAUUUAAAUCAUAACAGGAGAAGGAGUUUAGUUACUUUACAAUUAUCCAAGAUGGAUUAAAUUUGGUUUUAUAUCUAAGAUAUCAAAACCGUAAUUAGGUUAUGAUAAGCAUUAAACUAAAUUAUUGGAAUAAAAAUAUAGGUGAAAUUAUUAAUAAAAGCUGUUUUUUUUCAAAAUUUACUGAAAUGGGCUGAUUUUUUGAUUAUUUACCGGAAUGGUCUAUUUUCCGGGAAAUCGCGUCCACGUCAGAGCGAUGUCAGGGUACGUGUCAGGACAUUGCGUCCACGUCAGCGCGACCUGCUUACGUGGAAGGAAAUCGUGUCCUUGAGGGAGCGAUUUCCUUCCACGUCAGCAGGUCACGCUAACGUGGACGCGAUGUCGGCCGCGUGUGAACAGUACCCCAACGGUCAAAAAUUUGACCGUUGCCCCCCCCAACGGUAAAAAAAAACUAUAAAUACCCCCACCCCUUUUUUUUUUCACAAACAAAUCCUAUCUUCAAUUUCCUUCCAAAAUUCUCUCAAUUUCCUUCCAAAAUUCUCUCAAACCCAUAUUUAAUUUCAAUUUCCUCUCAAUUUCCUUCCAAAAUUCUCUCAAAUCCAUAUUUAAUUUCAAUUACCCCUCAAUUUUAUUUUUUAAAAUAAUUUUUAUAUUUUUAUAUUUUUUAAAAAUAAUUUUAAAUUUUUUUAUAAUUUCAUCAAUGGCCGGAUCAUUGAUUCGUCUUGAUAGGAUUCACAUAUCGGUGGAGCAAAUGAAAAUGGUAAGUAUUAAAUUUAAUUUUUAAAUAUUAUUUAAGAUUUUUUUAUUUAUGUAUUUUUAGAUAAUUAUUAAUUUAUUAUUUGUUAUCAAAGUCUGCAGAUCAGAUAUUGGAAUGCAAUAUCCGGAAUAUGCAUGCUCCUCCAUCACCGUUAGUAGAGAACUACCUGUGGGAAGCGGGUUUUUGGCACGUGGCGACGGUAGUCCGGGGAUGCAAGUUGGACCCGAAACUGAUUAGUGCGUUGAUCGAGAGGUGGAGACCCGAGACGCACACAUUCCAUCUUCCAUGUGGAGAGUGCACUAUCACUCUAGAAGAUGUCAGUCUGCAGUUGGGAUUCCUGGUGGACGGGCACCCAGUCACCGGGUCUGCCCAAUCUAGUAAUUGGGAGGCAGUGUGCUACGAGCUUUUGGGCGCUAUUCCGGAUAAAAUGGAUGGAGGUAAGGUCGAGAUGGGCUGGUUACGUGCCACCUUCCCCGAUCCGAAUGCAAAUUCAACUGAAAUUGAAAGAAUCUGAUAUGCUCGAUCAUACAUUUUUCAAAUAAUUGGAGGUUAUCUGAUGCCCGACACAUCACAGAGCCGUGUACAUCUAAGGUGGCUGCUAAAACUCGUUGAUUUUAGAGGAGCUGGUGAAUUUAGUUGGGGGUCUGCCGUCUUGACAACAUUAUAUCGGGAGAUGUGCGAGGUGACGCGACCGAGGAGAGCAAACAUCGGAGGUUGCCUGUCACUACUGCAAUCAUGGGCACGGUUUCGCUUUCCAUUUCUACAUCCUCGAGUGAACCACCCAUAUACAUUCCCACUCGUAACGAGGUAAAUUUUAUAUUACAUUUUGGAAUUAUUAUGUAUAUUUUGUAAGAAUAAAACUAUGCUAAAUAUUUAUUUAAUUAGGUGGAACCAUCAGGCAAGUUAUCGAGGAUUACCGUCUGAACUUGAAGAUAUACGGCUUCUAUUGGAGCAACGGUCGGAAGCAGAAGUAAGUAUUAUUGCAAAUAGAUAUUUCCAUACAUUCGCUAGUCGAUUGAUAUUUAGUAUUUAGUAUUUAGUAUUAUGUAUAUAACUAAUAUUUCUAUCAUGUUCAUAUAGUUUCAAUGGACACCAUACGAGGAUCCGGCAAUUCGAGUAGUAAUCCAGGAAGAGUUUUUACAAAAUCCGAACGCUUGGCACGCGAAAGUGGUGUUGAUCAACUAUGCAACCGUGGAGCCCCACCAGACAGAUAGAGUGCUACGACAGUUUGGAUGUAGACAACCGAUUCCUGCGGACCUUGAGGUGUUUGACGAUCACCACAAAAUCGACCUUCGGCUAUUAGGUAUGGAUUGGCCUAGAUACUGGUCCGAGUACACACAAAUGUGGGAAAAUCGGCUUGAAUAUCUACCUACUCGGGAAGAAAUCAUCGUUCCGGAGUUAGCGUGCGUUCCAGAAUACAUGCCAUAGUUUAGGAUCCAUGGCAAGCCGUAUUUACUUAAGCCAGAGGAUAGGCAGCGGCAAAUACGUGUCGGCAAGGAAAGGCGUGGGCCUCUAAAUCCAAGACAAGAAUACUACGAAGGCAGCCCCUCAACAAGGCCCAGACAGUCACCGGCUCAUCAUCAGCGGCCAUGCAAUCACCUUCCCCAAUGAGAGCAUCGACGCAGUCACCUGGCGCAACAAUUCAACAGAUGAUACCCACGCAACCGCCUUUCCCUAUGAUGCCAGGUGUGUUUCCUAGCCCUUAUAUGUACCCUAACCCUUACAUGUAUCCUUUUCCGAAUCCUAUGGCAGGUUGGAGCCAAAUGCCCGGUUCAGCUCCAUUUCCUGUUAUGCCGAGCGGACCGCCGAUAUCUAGGCCAGCGGCGCAGGAGGGAUCGCAAGGGGGGCCGUCGGGAAGCUCUCCUUUUUACCAAUCGCCACCAACGUAUGGCUUUCAAACACCGUCGUCGUUCAUGAUGCAAACACCUCCACAUACACUAUUCUUUGAAGGUGGAUCAUCGUCCCAAGUCCGACAACCAGAUGCCAAACCGGAAGAACCACAAUCACCACCGGAGGAAGAACAACCGCCGCCGGAAGCUAGAGGAAGGAGGAAUCUAGCGCGUAACCGUCGACGACCGCCAUGUGCAACUGAAUCCCCCGGGCAUAGACAUUGAUUGCCGUAUUUAAAUUUAUUAUUUGAUGUAAUAAAAUAGAAGUUUAUUUGAUGUAAUACGCAUAGAAAUUUUUUCGAGUUAUUUUGAUAUUAUUUGAUGUAAUAAAAUAGAAGUUUAUUUGAUAUAAUAGGCAUAGAAAUUUUUUCGAGUUAUUUUGAUAUUAUUUGAUAUAAUAAAAUAGAAGUUCUAUUUGAUGUAAUAAAAACCAUAAUUUAAUUAAAAACCCUAACCAUAACCUAACUUAAUUAAAAACCCUAACCCUAACCUAACUUAAUUAAAACCCUAACCCUAACCUAACUUAAUUAAAAACCCUAACCCUAACCAAACUUAAUUAAAAACCCUAACCCUAACCUAACUUAAUUAAAAACCCUAGCCCUAACCUAAUUUUACAUAAUUUGAUAAUUUUACUAACCAUUAACACAAUUUUUGGACUUAAUAAUUUUACAUAAUUUGAUAAUUUUACUAACCAUUAACACAAUUUUUGGACUUAAUAAUUUUACAUAAUUUGAUAAUUUUACUAACCAUUAACAAAAAAAUUUUUGGCUUAAUAAUUUUACAUAAAUUUACAUAAUGUUAGAUUUGGUAAAAUAUUUUGACUGGUACUAACAAUUAAGAAAUUAAACUAAUUUGAUAAUUUUACUAACAAUUAAUACAAUUAUCAAUUAAUAAUUGAAUAAAAUAUAUUUUUUUCUAAAAUUACAUUCAACUAUUGCGAUUAGGGCAUGAUCGACUUGUAUGGCCUGGGUUCCUACACCAUCUGCACAACUUCUGUUGACUGGCUGUUUCUCGGAUAUCCAUAUUGUUCCGUAUUCUAGUGGAGCACGGUCGACCCUUUAGUUUGCGACGCAAUUCUCUAUCCGGUAACAGCUUAAAAGGAGCAAGAGAUACGGGCGGCCACUUACGUUCAUCUGGGACCGGUGGGAAAACGUGUCUCCAUACGUUGUACAUGUUUUCUAAUUUGUACACUUCGUCCACAUAACUCAUCGGAUCCAGACGGAGUUUCUGACAAGCUGCAAUAACAUGAGCGCAUGGAUAGCGAAGUGCAUCAAACUUCCCACAGUCACAAGUCCUGUUUUGCAAGUGUACACUAUAUUGUCCGCCAACAACACCUUGGUGCGGUCUGUCAAACUCUGUCACACGAAACCAUAAAUUGUCUCGAUCGUGACACACUGUGUGCAUGAUGUUUGCCCUCGCCUUCGCCUUGUUAAUUUCUUGAACUACCUUACUGCACCAUACAUGGCCACCCUGCAUCUGGCCUGCAUAAGUUGCUGCUCGCUUUGGAAAUAGCGCCGCCAAACGGAAAUAUGUCUCUCGCACAACUGAUGUUAUCAGUAGAUGGCACGUUCCUUUAAUAACAGAAUUUAUGCAUUCUGCCAGGUUUGACGUCAUAUGGCCAUAUCGCAGGCCUCCGUCGUAUGCUUGUACCCACUGUUCGAAACGUAUGUUACAAAGGUAGUCUGCCCCUUCUCCGUUUUGGGAUCGUAAAAUUACCAACAUCUCGUGAAAACGAUCUUUAUUUAUUUCAUACCCCGCCAAUAUAAGAUUAUAGCGAAUAUUUUAUACCAUUUCUACCAAUAAAACUAAUUCAAAUUGACAAACGAAAUAAUAUAGUUAUAGACUAAAUACCCAUAUUGGUCACUUGUCGUCGUUCGCUCUUAGAUGGAUAUUGCCUGUAGUAGUUCGAAGCAACGUAUCUUAGGCAAUAUCUAUGGUGUGUGCGCUGCCACAAGCUUCCCUAUCGAUCAAAUGCAGCUAGUAUACCGGCGCCCCGAUCUGAAAUAACAUAGAUAUCAGGUUGGGGGCACACAUGCCUCCUUAACCUAGAGAGAAAGAAAUCCCAGUCAUCAGACAACUCCCCCGGUGUUAUUGCAAAUGCAAUUGGAAGAAUUUUCCCACCGCCGUCCUGUGCCAAUUUGUACAUGAAGGUACCGUCAAUUUGUACCAAUGGCUUGCAGUAUGGAAAUGCGUCUCGGCAUUGCUUAAAGGUCCAAAAUAGGCGUUUGAACACUUGACAUCCACGUAGCAAUCGGCCGUUGUAGUACGCAUGUUCCGUUUCAAGGUCUGUGAUGGCACUUGGGACGUAUCUCUCUAGCACCUGACACCACUGUCAUAUUUCAUUAUAUGAGGCGUCCCACCCACUAUGCAUCUUCUCCAACGCCUUUUGCUUAGUUAUCCAAGCCUUGCGGUAAGAGGGCGUGUACCCCAUUUGGCUAUGGAUAUUGGCAAUUAUCACCGACACUGAAGUCCUAGGAUCUGCUUUUAUCAUGGGCAGUAUCAAGCUAUCUAACAUAGCUGAAUCCAUUUUGGGAUGAUCUUGUGAAACACCUACAGAGGGAGUACAUUAAAUAAUGCAACAUUGCAAAAUAAAAUAAUUAUUUAGAUACAUUAAAUCAUGUACCUGCAGCACAUGUAUGUGGACCUUUGUACUUUUUUAUCUCCCACAACCUUGUCCUUUUCCUUAACGAGACGACGAUUUUCCAUGAACAUGUGCCGUCUUACACCGCACACUUCGCCUCAAACUUAUCAGAUUUUGAUUUAAAGACGUGGUCAUUAACGCCGUUUUUGAUGCUAUGCUGUUUCAAAGCACCAAUAAAACUAUCCUUGUUGGUAAACUGAUUACCAACGUCAAGUUCACCGAAAUUUACCCCCGAACUUGUACGAUCGCACAACCGGUGUGGUAGAUCUGGAAACUCUAACGCAUCAUCUGCUGACAGAUCGACAUUAUGCAUGUGGGCUGGAGGUGAGUAUGCUUUGAAUCGUGGAUUUUCUUCAUCAUCUGAACUCCUUUCAGCAUCUUCACCUUCUAUUGGAAUAGGCUCCGGUUCAGAAAAUAAUCUCACUUCUGCACCAUCCGGCCCGGGCUCUCGAGGUGGAUCCACAUCGGAGUCAUCUUUUAACCCACAAUCAUCUGCAGCGUACGACGUCCCUUCACCGGUUGACGUCGUAGGUAGUACGCCAUCCCUUCUUCUGGGUAUUUGAUAACGUUUCCAAUUAGAUGUAGAUUGCCAUCCAUUAGAACUUGAUGCAGUUCCCCAGUACGUAUUUCCAGCAUCAAACGUCGAGCCACCGACGUAUAUGUCCCAUCCACCGACAGAGUGUCUUGCGGGGGAUGCAUUCGACAGCGCUACCGAACAUGGGCUGUUCUAUAUUUUGUAACCCGCUAACCGAGUGUCGGCCAGGGGUCGUGUAUACAUCUCAAACACCAGACGGAAGUACAUCAGUUGGCAACGUAAAUUGUACAUAUAACUCAAUAUAAGUUGCUCCACUAGCAAGAUGAGUCUCCACCAUUGCCUCCAAGCUACGAGCACAUUUUCUGUCGAACGAGUCAUAUGUCACCGGAUCAACACAAGAACAAAAUCAAUACGUGAUUGACAAAACUUUCAUUGGCAUCGUUCCGAAGAUUUUACGCCUAAUUCUUUUACGAAGUUCUGUCAAAUCUAUGUUCUGGUUAAAUGACAGUCACACCGUAUUCUCCGACUAAAGAACAACACCAUUCUCGGUGUGGCAAACCUCACCAUCCUAGUAAAUAACAGCACUAAUACGUUCACUCAUUUUGAAACUCUAACUUUCUUAGCCUCUCUAAAUUGUUUCUGCUAUGACUUAUGCAUUCUAAGAACAUUUUCUGCCUAGUUUAUAGCCUCAGCUCAAACUUGCUACUGCAGCAAAAUCGCGUCCACGAGGGCGCGAUUUCACAAUUUCUUCUCAAAUAACAUCCUGGUACAAGCGAUUUUAUACUAUUUGCUCAGAAACGUCAAAAAAAUUUAUUUCUUACAUGACCUACUGUAGCAAAAUCGCGUCCACGAAGGCGCGAUUUCACAAUUUCUUCUCAAAUAGCAUCCUGGUACAAGCGAUUUUAUACUAUUUGCUCAGAAACGUAAAAAAAAUUAUUUCUUACAUGACCUACUAUAGCAAAAUCGCGUCCACGAGGGCGCGAUUUCACAAUUUCUUCUCAAAUAGCAUCCUGGUAGAAGCGAUUUUAUACUAUUUGACCAGAAACGUCAACUCGAAAUAAUUUAUUCCUGGACCUAAAAAUCCUAAAAAGCCUGAACCUUAAACCCUAAAAGCCAAAAAAACCAAACGUGAAAAAAAAGUCAAAAUCACGUCCCCCGGAAUGCGCUACGUGGCAGGACAUCGCGUCCACGUCAGCGCGACCUACUGACGUGGAAGGAAAUCACUCCCUCAAGGACGCGAUUUCCUUCCAUGUCAGCAGGUCGCGCUGACGUGGACGCGAUGUCCUGACACGUACCCUGACAUCGCUCUGACGUGGACGCGAUUUCCCGAAAAAUGGAUCAUUCCGGUAAAUAAUCAAAAAAUCGGUCUAUUUCGGUAAAUUUUGAAAAAAAAACGGCUUUUUUUGGUAAAUUACCCAAAAAUAUAAGCAAUUUUACAAUAUUCGUGGUGGGAACAUAUCCCAUCACCAACUUUUCAUAACUUCUUUUUCCCAUUUUAUAAAAUGUCUAUAGAUUAAGUACUGGCUCUUCAAUUUUCUAAGUAUUCAUUGUCUUACCCCUUUCUUGGGUUUGGUUUGGGAAGGUUGCUUGACUUCGUUGUGCAAUUUAAAGUCUUUCCAAUUUGUCGUUUUAGAAGUGAUCGGAAAAUUUGCACUUCUUCAUGUGCUGGAAGAAAAGUGAUUGGGUUCAAAGAAUAAAAACAGGGAUAGAUUAUUUACAUAGUUUAGUUUUUCUAUUCCUACAGAGCCUACGUUAUGAGGAAUAGUUUAGUUUAUGUUGUAAUUUCUUCCUGCAAGAUUACAAAUUUUUUUAAUGUGAUUUACGUAGAAACUACGAAAUUUAUUAUAGGAUGUGAUAAUAUAAUUCUAUAAUUAUUGCUUAAAAUUUUUCUUUCUAAAUUUCAUAUUUCUUAAGAAAUUACAGUAAUAAAUUUUACAUAGAAAUAAUAUGUAGUAUUGAAAUUAAAUUGCAGUUGUACAAAGGUUACAACUUUUUUAUUAAAUUAUUAAAAUUAUUAGAGAACAUGAUAAAAUUAAAUGAGAACCUUUUUAUCAAAGUGACAAGUGAGCAGUCACUUUGAAGAAUAUAAAUAACCCUACCGCUUGCUUAAUUUGUGUUUCUAUUGACUAAAAAAAUUUUGAACAAAAAGGAUAUUGACUAAAAAUUAAAAUAACCAUGAAAUCUUUUACAACAUUCAAUGAGGUUGAAAGAUUUUAUUUUUAAUUUUUUUUAAAUAAUAACUUAUUUGGCUUCUAAUUUUAUAAAAAAAUUAUUUUUUAUUCCUUAAAACUUAUAUUAUUUAUCAACAUUGGCUUACUCCUUCGUUGGGUUUGGUUUGGGACGGCUGCUUGACUUCGUUGUGCAAUCUAAAGUCUUUCCACUUUGUCGUUUUAAAAGUCUGCAUAUCGGAGAAUAUCACAAUUGAGAAAGAAUUAUAUAUUGCUGUGAAACUGAACGUAGUUGCUAAUAUAUACGUUAAGUGAUUAAAAACUUGGCACUUCUUCAAGUGCGGGAAGAAGUGAUUGCGAAGUUGACACUUUUUCAAGUUAUUAAAAAAAAAAAUAGGAGACACAUAUUGUUUACGUAGUUUGGUUUCUUACGUUUGCAGAUCUUAGUUUAGUGAGAAAUAUCUACUAUCUCCAACAUUUAUAAUAAGUGAUCUUAAAUCUAUCACAACCCACUACAAUUUCCUCACUUUUGUACUUUUGAAAAUCGGUACUCUCACCACUAAAUUCACUCCUGUGAACUUAAUUUAUAAAAUCACAACACACAAGUUUUACAAUCAAAUGCACUCUUACAAACAAUAUUCUUCGCUUAAACAGACUAAGUGCUCUCAAUUCUCUAUACAAUCACCUAUACAAGUCUCUCAAUUAUAAAUAGAUUUCGAGAUUUACUAACAUAAUGAAAAUCUAUAUCAAUCUCUAUUAAACAACAACUAAACUAGUUGAAUAAAUUAUAAUAAUAAAUAAGGUAAACAAGGAUUGUUGUCAGCUAAGUCUUCUACGUUCCAAUUCGAUUCAACUUCCUCGAUCCAAGCGAUUAGAUAGACAUGGUCCGAUCCAAUCCGAUCCCUUAAACAUGUUUCCUGAAGUGAUAUGAUCUGUAACACCCCAAACCCAGCCUAACGUUAUAUAUGGUCUAACAUAUAAUAAAAUUUAUUAUUUAUAAAAUAAACUAAAAAUAAAAAGAGAGAAAAGUUUGAAUAUGGUUUAAAUAUUGUUUGUGAGGUUUUUUUAAAAAAUAUUUUAUUUAUAAAAAUAUUAUUUUAAGAAAUAAAUGUUAUGUUAGAAAGAAGAGAAAAUGGGUAUUCAUGUGUAUUUAUAAUUGUGUUAUGUAUUGUUAUAAAAACUUAUGUGUUUUUAUAAAAAAAAAACUUUUACAUAUUUUGAAUUUUUAAGAAGUAAAACUACAUUGACAAAAUGUAUAAAAUUGAGAGCUAAAUUUGUUGAUUUUUUAGAGUUAAAGCUAAAUUGAUAGAAUCUGUCAACAUUGAAGGGUUAAAUUUGUUAUUAUAUUAAUAAAAAAUGCCACCGUUAAUGAUUUAACAUAGGAACAACAAAAAUAUUAAAUUUUGAUAAUGUUAAUGAAUGAAAUAAAAAAUUUUAAACUUAAAUGACCAAAAUAGAAACACACUAAUAAUUAGAUAAACUAUUUUUUUUACUUUGCCCUAGAUUUAAUAAUGUUACCCGAUUUUCCAUGAUUCCUCCAUUUUCUUACCCCUUUCUUGGGGUUGGGACCCGGCUUCACUUUAUUUGUGCAAUCUAAAGGCCUUUCAACUAUGUCAACAAUUGCUUAUGAACUUAUAAUGUGAAACCUUAAGCAAUUGGACAACGAAGCUAUCACUUUUCUUCUUCAAGGAUAAUUAAGAUGGGUCUGGCAUGGUCACUAAAUUUCCAUCACUUUUUGGCCAUUUUCUUUUCAAUGUUUUGCACAUUUUAAAAUCUCUAUACAUUCAAUAAUGCUCCCCAAUUGAAGGUUCUUCUUUUUCAAACCUCGUCUUUUCCUCGACUUUGUUGUGCAAUUUAAAGUCUUUCAGCUUUGUCGUUUGGGUAACUUAUAAAAAUAGUCACUUAAUUUUAGUUAAAUUUAUUUUCUCACUGAAUUAUAAAAAAAUUACAUUUUAGUCACUAACAGUAUCGAGUUAUAACGUUUUGGUCACUCAUCCAUUAACCGCCAUUUUAUCCUUAAGGAAAAGUGCCGUUAACUCAAGGGUUAAUAUUUAAUUUGACCUUUGAACUAUAGUUAAAACAUUCAACUUGGUCAUAAUUUAUUAAAAAAUAUUAAAAAUAAAAAAUUUAAAAUUUAUUUAUUGUUUGAUACUAUAAAAAAUAUAUAUUUUGAAAUUGUAAUUAUGUAAUGUUUUAAAAAACCAUAGAAUCCUUUAAAUUUAAAUUAUAUUAGAAAUCCUAUCACAGUUGUGCACAUGUGGCAAUCAUGAAUUUAGAACAUAGAUUUGUGUUUAAAAAUGAAAUCCAAUAAAUAAUGAAAUCGUAUAGUUUGAAACUAAUUAAUCAUAAUAACACAUGAAAUAUGUAUGAUAUUAAAGUUAAAAAAUUAGAUUAAAUUGUGAGUAAAACUAAACUUAAACAUAUAAAUACAUUAAAUUAACAAUACUAAACCAACUCAACUAAUAACAUUAUUAAUAUAUACAAUGGAUGAAGUGUGCAUAAUAAAAUUAAAUUGUAUAUGAAAAAAUCAAAAUAAAACUUUGGUUGAGUGGUUAAUUUAGGGUUUUGCUAAUGUGAUUGACGUAGAUAUUAUAAUAUGUAUAUUUUUUUUAUUUUUUUAAGAAAGUAAAAGAUUAAAGUACCCCCGAAUAAUAUAAUUUAUUUAAUUACAAAAGAACAUUUCCAUAAUUUCUCUAACCGAGUUGAUGCUCGUCUGACUCGUAAUAUCAACUCAAUCAAAGACUUAAAAUAAUGGUACAGAUAAAAAUGUAGAUUGAGUCAUGGUUAUCUGAACCUAUUGAACUGGCAAUGAUACCAGUCUGGAGAGAGGCAUUAGAUCAGUUCACUCGCAAACCAGUACAGACCAAUAUUAGAACUAGACUAAAAAACUGAUUGAAUCGUUUUUUUAAUAUUUUAAUAAUUUGUAAUCCAACUAUACAAACCAAUAUUUCAACCACCAUUUUAGUUCUAAAAACUUUGCUUAAAGUAUAUUUAAUUUUUAAUUAUUUACUUUAUAAUUCUACACAAAUACAUAAUUACCGCAGCUUCAGAACAGACGAGGACUAAGAAAAAGAAUCAGCUAAUUUUACUGAUUGCAAUUCUAUGAGUAACGCAGCAAACUUAGCUUUCUUUAAUUUCGUCUCACACUAAUAAUUUGUAUCUAUGAUUUAACUUGGACAAGAUCUUUAUCAAGUUGUUUUUUAUGCAAUUGACUAAUAAAAUUCCAUAUUGAGCCAUCGAAUUUACGAGAAAUGGAUACAACAAUGACUUCAAAAUAAAUUGGACUUUUUAUUUUGCAAUUCACUUUUAUAGUUUCAAUAAUGGCCAACCAAUUUUCCAUGACUUUUAUAGCUUGACUUAAGUUGUGCAAUCUAAAGUCUUUUUCUAAACCGUGAGAACAGAAGAAAACAUAUGAGCAGCCAUUGUUGAAGUCCCAUGUUCGGCCAACCUUCUCAUUUUACACGGUGAGUAAUUUUAAUCUUGUUUUUCAUGAAUUUUAUAUUUUUGAGAUUAUUGUAAUUUUAAUCUAGUUUAGCUAACUCGAGUGUUAAUUUUUGAAACUGUUAAAAUUUCUAAAUGUUACUAUUGAUGAAUGAUUGAUGAAAUUAGUAUUAAUUGAUUAGAUUUUUCUGCUUAGAUAUGAAAAAGGCUUAAUUAUCAAUUAUCAAUUCCAAAUAAAAAAUAUUAUUGAUAUUUUCUAUUAUGAAAACCCAUUCUCAAUGUGUUGAAUCGUUGAACAAGUAAUUUUUACUUCUAUUGUGGCAAAUUCAAUGGAGGGAGUUAUCUUCUUAUUUCUACCAUAAAAAGUUUCUCAAUAAAUUUCAUUGGGUGAAAAUUUUGAGUUAGAUUAGAGUGCUUCAAAAUCUCAUGGCAAUUAACAAAUUACGUGAAUGUGUGUGAAAAUAGGAAGGAUAUUAGUAGUUCACCUCUAAUUGCUUAGGCAUGAUACUCGUUGUGAAAAUAGGAAGUUUCUCAACAAUUCCCAUGAUACUCGUUGGAUAACUCGAUCAUUUUUUUUACAGGAUGUAAACUUUUCUAAAUGAUAAGGAAAGGAAAAGAAAACUUAGGCAAUUCAAUUUAAGUAGUUCACAUUUAAUUGCCUACCUCCACUUAGUAUCCUUUAAUCAAAUAAUUUCUCAAAUUACUAUAAGAAUUUGUACCUUUCGAGGAGAAGGUAUAACAUUUACAACACUAUCUUUUUCUUAAAGCUUAGAUAUAACCUUUCCCUCUAGCUUUUAUAGUUGUUGUAUAGUCGUCGUUGGCAAGUCAUGUCUCGAGACAAUUUAUCAAUUGUCUUUAGACACACUGCACUAUAUCUCAAGACAAGCAGCUCCUAUCAAUUGGUACAAGCCAGUAUGAACUAGUAUAAGUUAGUAUUGACUGAAACGAGCUUAAACAUACUGGAAUUGUCAAAACACAUCAAAAUCUUAACCAUAAUGAAACCUAUACUAUUUAGUAUUGGUUGAAGACCAAAAAGAUACGCAUCGAGUGUGUUAAAUGUUGAUGUCCUUUUUAUGUACUGUUUAUAUUUUUGUUCUUUUAAUAAUAUUUGUUUGGCUUAUAAAAAUUAUUUUUAUUAAAAUAAAAUAAAUGAAAAGCUUAUGCAAAGACUGAAAAAAGAUAUCAAAAUUUGCUAUGUUUUGAUAUUGGGCAUUUAAUAAUUUGUACCUAUAUUUAAAAAAAAUUUGUACCAAUACAAUUUCAUAAAAUUAGUACAAAUGGUCAUCAAAAUUCAGCGUAACUUCCUAAAUAUAUUGCUAAUUGAUAUAAUUGAGAACGGUUAUGCGGUUGAUAAUAAUCUUUUUGAACUUCGUUUAGUACAUGAUUUAUGCAAGUAAUAUUGGCAACUUAAGUUUCGGCAUGUCCUGCGAGAACAUAAGAGACUGACAGAUUGCAUGACCAAAGUUGUUCCUAGUAAUCUUAAUAGGUUAACAACUUUUGAAGACCCAGCUAAUCAUGCUCGAUCUUUGUUAGAAGAAGAUGCUCAUCGAGCAAUGAUUAAUAUAGACUCUCAUCAACCUAAUUGUAGCUAAUUCCUUGAACUUGUUUCUUUUUUAAAAAAAUUCACAAAAUGCAGAAAUAACUAUUAAUAAACUUUAUAGGAAAACAGAGCAUCUGUAUAAAUAUUUAUCAAAGACAUUGCUAGAAAGCAAAGCUUAUGUUUAUUUUAGUCAAUUUAACAAUGGCCACUUCAUCGAACGCGUUGCAUAUCCCUUGAUAACUUUACUUUGAUCUUCUUUAACUUUGUAACAACCUCUUUCAUAUGAAGCCUCUCAUUUGGUAACUCUGCAGAACAUUCUAAGCCAACUUGCAAAAUGGAUAAGGCACAAUUCUUGACUUUUAAAUGUUCCCUUCCAAUGGUGCUCAACAACUUGGGAUCUACAACUUGAUUUCGCGAAGAUGAUAUCGACUCUAUCACCCAACUAUUCAAGCUUCUUUCUNNNNNNNNNNNNNNNNNNNNNNNNNNNNNNNNNNNNNNNNNNNNNNNNNNNNNNNNNNNNNNNNNNNNNNNNNNNNNNNNNNNNNNNNNNNNNNNNNNNNACAUUUUAUCUGUGGGCUUUUUUCUUGUGAUGAUUUCCAUCAAAAGAAUACCAAAGCUAUACACAUCACCUUUUGUCGAAACAAUUCCUUCGAUUCCAUAUUCUGUGUAUGAAUAUAAAAACAACAUUAUGAAUAUUCAAAGAUAUCUUGAUAAUGAAAAAUCCGUAUAAAAUGUACGAAACAUUAUAUGCUUGCAUGUUAUAAUUGAACUGGGAUUUAAUCUAGUUGCUUCCUUAAAAAGUCACAUUUAAUAUGUUUGAAACUCAAAUCUUAACAUAUAUGAUCCCUUUUGUUAUGCACAUGCUACGCUUACAUUGAAAAUGGAAAAAUAAACAUGGAGUUUGAUUAGAAGUAUCACCUGGUGCCAUAUAUCCGAAUGUUGCCAUUGUCAUGGUUUGUAUCAUUGAAACCUCUUCACGUAAGAGUUUCGCGAUGCCAAAAUCACUCAAAUGAGCAACCAUAUCUUCAUCUAAUAGAACAUUGUUGGGUUUUAAAUCACAGUGAACCACGGGUGUUGCAUUACCAUGGUGGAGAUAUUCCAAUGCAGAUGCAACAUCUAUCAUUAUGUUCAACCUUUGUAGGAUAUCCAAAUAUUGGUUGUUGGAAUACAACCAUUUAUCAAGACUCCCAUUAGGCAUGAACUCAAGCACCAACGCUUUGAAAUUAAGAUCAUUAGAGCAACUGCUUAUUACUUUGACUAAAUUUCUGUGACGAGUGUUGCAGAGAACAUCACAUUCAACAUCAAAGCUCUUAAAAGCUCCUUCUAACUCUAACUUGAAGACCUUUACCGCAAUUACCGUCCCAUCCUGGAGAGUCCCUUGGAAUAGUGAACCAUAACUUCCAUUACCAAGCAACCUACUACCAUUGAAUCCAUCAGUAGCUUGACGAAGCUCGUGGUAUGAAAACCGUCUCCACGUUCCUAAAGGUAUCAUGUCUUCUUGAGUUGGCAAUUUGUCUUUCCUCCUAUUUUGCAAGAUAAUGAUUAUCAGAGCCACAACCAAAAUUGUGGAGGCAAUUGGCAGAGCUACAUAUAUUAUGAGCUUCAGCUUAGUUUUUGCCUUGGAAUUUCUAAGAGGUCUUGUUUUGCAGUUUGGAACAUGAAGUCGAGUUGCACCACACAAGGCUUCAUUACCCUUAAAUGAUUCGAUUGUGUAGUUUCCAAAUGAUCCUCCUUCAGGAAUUUUUCCUUCAAGUCUAUUAAAAGAGACAUUGAAAUAUUUGAGAUAACGGAGUUUCUUUAAGGAUUUGGGAAUCUCUCCAGAUAGAUUAUUUCUUGACAAGUCCAAGAAUUCCAAACUCAACAAUUCAUCAAAAGACUCAGGAAUAGAACCCAUGAUUCUAUUAUUGGACAAGGAAAAAUGAGUGAGGUCCUUGAGAUCUGCAACUCCAGUUGGGAUAUCACCUGAGAACUGAUUGUUCGACAAAUCCAAACUAGUCAAAACUUUCCAUUUUCCAAUGUCAGUUGGCAGUGGACCACUUAGAGAAUUUGAAGACAAGUAUAGGAUGAGGAGAUAGUUAAGCCUUGUCAACGUGGAAGGUAUUGAGGAGGAAAACUUAUUGGAGUCUAGAAAUAGUUGCCUUAAUGAAGUGAGAUCACCUAAGCAAGCAGGUAUUGGUCCAGACAAUUUGUUAUUGGUCAAGAACAAGAAAGCCAAUUUGUUUAGAUGACAUAACUGAGAUGGGAUGGAUCCUUCUAACUUAUUGUCUUUAAGAGAAAGACUUUGCAACUCUUCCAAUCCACCAAUUGUAGUAGGAAUCUGUCCUAUCAAUUUAUUGCCUCCGAGAUCAAUGCUUAUCAAGUGACUUAAGUUUCCAAUUUCAUUGGGGAUGCUACCCCUGAUGUUGCAUGAAUAAGCAGAGAACUCUUCAAGAGAACUUGAGACAUUUCCUACCACUCUUGGAAGUUCACCACUAAUAAAUGGGUUGCUAUCGAAAAGAAAGUUCGAGCCGACAAGGUGAUUGCUAGCAAGAUAUAAUUGCUCCAUGUUUGGAAGUAAAAGGCCCAUGUUUGAUGGAAGAUGGCCAGAGAGCUGAUUUAUAUCCAAAGCAAUCAUCCUUAAAGUUGAAAUAUUAAAUACAUGUGGAGGGAUAGAACCAGUAAGAUUGUUAAAGUCUAAAUCCAACCAAUUUAGAUUCUUUAGGUUGCCAAUCUCACGUGGUAUUAUACCUGCCACAAAUUUUAUCAAACAAAAAUAUUAGACAAAUAUGAGGAAGAAAAUAGUUUAUAUAUAUGAAACAUUUGCUUAUAUUUUUUAUAAUGUGUACAACCAUAGACAAUUAGUGUAUCAAAUAUGAAUCAACAAUAUUUACAAAAAAAAUUAAUUCACAAUAAAAUUGUUUUUAUAGAGCGCUUGCAAAUAUUAAAGUACUUCAAGUAAUUUUAAAUUGAAUUUUUUAGGUUUAAAGUUGGAAUAAGUUCAAAAUGAGAAGGGAUUGUAUGAAAUUACAAUUCUAUGUCAUCUUUAUCCCUUAUAGGAGAAUAACAACUCAGAUUUUUCCUCCUAAUUUUUAGCUUUUUCUUCUUGAAAAAAUUUAAAAUCCAACUAAAAAAGUUAAAAAUUAAGAGGAAAAAUCUGAUUUAUCAUUCUCUUAUUGGAAAGGGAUAGAGAUUACGUAGAAUCACAGUUUCAUACAAUCACUUCUCAUUCAAGUUAUAGAAAAUAAUGAUGAAAUAAAUGAUAAAGAACAAACAUUUAUAAGUCAAAUAAAAUAAUUAAGAACAUAAUGGUGAAUUAAAUUUGUUUUCCUUUUAUCUGAUUUGAUAAAUUUAAAAUUUUUAAGAACAUAAAAAUAAAUCAAAUAUGAUUUUUGGUCCCUUGGAGUUUUGUUUGGCCUCAACAGGGGUAAAUGUAAAUAAUGGACUUAAAAAAAAAAGAAAUAUACUAAUUGCAAUGACUAUGAAAAAUUUUAUAAUUAUUGUAGAAUAAUCAAAACACAGAAAGCGGUUGAGCAAAAUAAAGUUCAAAUUAAUAAAAACUAUCAGUAAAAGUUGCAAAUUAAUAAAAAUAAUUUGGAAAUAAUUUAACUCUUUCUUAUACAUUCACCUGUAAAAUUGCUAUGGGAACAAUCAAACGACAUAAGAAGAGUUAAAUUCACAAUUUGUUUAGGAAUUUCACCUGCAAUUAUAAAAUUCACAUAUCAAAUUAAAAAUUCAUCUCCUAGCAAGGAUUAUAAUAAUAAAAUUAAGGUAUAAUGGCUUAUUUAGCUCUUCAAUUUUAUUAAAAAGAAUCAUUUUAGUCUUUCAUUUAAUUUUUCAUCUCUUUUAGCCCUUAAACUUGCAAUGUUUGUCAAAUCAUCCCAAAAUGAAUUGAAAAUUCCAUGUGUAUGCCACAUCAACAAUUAAUUUUUAAAAUUUUAAAAAAAUUCUAUUUUAUUACUAACGUGUCAGCAAAGUAAACAAACAUUAACUUUUCCAUACAUUUUUUGGGCUGAUAUAACAAACAAUACAAGUUCAAGAGCUAAAAGAAACGGAAAAUUAAAUAAAAAAUUAAAAUGAUUUUUUUUAUAAAGUUGAAGGGCUAAAUAAAUAAUUAUUUCUAAAGUAAACAAAGCACGUUAGCAAGGUAUUUCACAUCAUAUUAGGUGUCAUACACACUUCCAAGUCAAGUUGGAACUAAAAGAAUAUUUCUCUCAUCAUUUUGUCGUAGUUUAUUCUUCAAUCUUCUUUUGAAAAAUUUCAACUAUGUAUUCGUUUAAUAAAUAAAUUUAUAUUUUCAAUCUCAAUAUCUAAAUUAUUAUAUUCAUUACCUUAAUUUCUUUUCAAAAAAACAAAAAAAAAAAUCGUUCCUUGCAUCUCAAUGUACUUAAAAAAAAAAGUAAACACUUCAAAAGGUUUUAAAAAUGGUUAGCAUAUAUUACCUUCAAAGUGGUUCCGACCAAUAGCGAUGUCUUGAAGCAGGCUCAAAUUCCCAAUUUCUAUUGGUAGGCUCCCCUCCAUUUGGUUAUACGAUAAAGCUAACACUUGUAACUCUUUGCACUUGAAUAGACUGGCAGGAAUUCUACCAGAAAGCAGGUUAAGACUCCAGUACAAUCCUUUCAAAUUUGGAAGAUGAUCAAACAUAUCUUUUGGGAUAUGACCAGUGAGAUUAUUGGAGGUGAAAUCGAUGACUUCUAGCAAAAGCAAAUCACGUGGAACAGAGGGUAUAGAACCAGAGAAUAUAUUAAUAUUAUUGUCAGUAUAGGAGGAUGUGAAUUUAAAUGCAUUGAAACAUAUUUAUCUUCUUAUAUAAUUAUUAGCAAAAAAAAAUUAUGGAUAGUUCUAGACAUUUUAUAAAAAGAAUUUGAUAUAGCAAGAUUUAGAAAAUAAUUUGCAUUAUUUAUUUUAGGAAAUUAUUGAAUAAAGAGAUCAAGAAUUUUCAAUUUAAAAACUUUUAAAUUUAAAUCAUAACAGGAGGAGUUUAGUUACUUUACAAUUAUCCAAGAUGGAUUAAAUUUUGAACAAAAAGGAUAUUGACCAAAAAUUAAAAUAACCAUGAAAUCUUUUACAACAUUCAAUGAGGUUGAAAGAUUUUAUUUUUAAUUUUUUGAUUUUUGUUGAAUUAAUAACUUAUUUGGCUUCUAAUUUUUUUUAAAAAGACUUUUUUUUAGUCUUUAAACUUAUAUUGUUUAUCAAAUUAUUUCAAAAUGAAUGAAAAAAUUAAUGUUUAUUAACAUUGUCGAUGUAAAUAAUAUUAAAUUUAUUUAAAAAGUAUAAAAAUAUUUUUUUAAAAAUUAAUUAAUUGCUAACAUAACAUAUACGUGGUAAUCUAUAUGUAUGCCACAUCAGCAAAGUUAACAAAUGUUAUUUUUUUCAUCCAUUAUAAGUUAUUUGACAAAUAAUGUAGUUUCAAGAGUUAAAACUGACGAAAAAUUAAAUAAAUGGCUAAAAUUACUUCUUCUUCUUUUUUAUAAAGUUGGAGGGUGGAAAAAUUGUUAUACAUUUUUUUUUCUUGUCUUAUCAGUACCCUCGACAACACACCACCAUAAAGUAAGAAUAUAAAGCAUGGUUCAUUUAACUAGAUUUUUAGCAAGAAAAUUGAUAUUGUUGUCUGUAUAUAUAAAAAGACACAGGUUUAAACUUAUUGAAAUAUAUUUAUCCUUUUAUAUAAGGAUUAGCAAAAAAUUAUAGAUAUAUAAUUCUAAGCAUUUUAUAAAAAAAAAAAGUUAUAUAAUAUGACAUAGAAAAUAAUUCACUUUUUAUUUUAGGACAUUAUUGAAUAAAGAAAUCAAGAAUUUUUAAUUUAAAAAUCUUAAAUUUAAAUCAUAACAGCAGAAGGAGUUUAGUUUACAAUUAACCAAGAUGGAUCAAAUUUGGCUUUAUAUCUAAGAUAUGAACACUGUAAAUAGAUUAAUGAUAAGCAUUAAACUAAAUUAUUGGAAUAAAAAGAUAAGCAAUUUUACAAUAUUGGUGCUGGGAACAUAUCUCUAUAGAUUCAGUAAUGGCGCGCUCUCCAAUUUUCUAAGUAUUCAGUGGCUUACCCCUUCGUUGGGUUUGGUUUGGGACGGCUGCUUAACUUAGUUGUGCAAUCUAAAGUCUUUCCACUUUGUCGUUUUAAAAGUAUGCAUAUCUGAGUGCGGGAAGAAGUGAUUGCGAAGUUGACACUUUUUCAACUUAUUACAAAAUAAAAAAUAAAAAAAGGAGACACAAAUUGUUUACGUAGUUCGGUUUUUUUACGCUUGCGGAUCUUAGUUUAGUGAGAAAUAUCUACUAUCACCAACAUUUAUAAUAAGUGAUCUUAAAUCUAUCACAACCCACUGGCAAUUUCCUCACUUUUGUACCUUUGAAGACUAGUACUCUCACCACUAAAUUCACCUCUGUGAACUUAAUUUAUAAAAUCACAAUACACAAGUUUUACAAUCAAAUGCACUCUUACAAACAAUAUUCUUCGCUUAAAUAGACUAAGUGCUCUCAAUUCUCUACACAAUCACCUAUACAAGUCUCUCAAUUAUAUAUAGAUUUCGAGAUUUACUAACAUAAUGAAAAUCUAUAUCAAUCUCUAUUAAACAACAACUAAACUAGUUGAAUAAAUUAUAAUAAUGAAUAAGGUAAACAAUGAUUGUUGGCAGCUAAGUCUUCAACGUUCCAAUUCGAUUCAACUUCCUCGAUCCAAGCGAUUAGAUAGACAUGGUCUGAUCCAAUCCGAUCCCUUAAACAUGUUUCCUGAAGUGAUAUGAUCUGUAACACCCCAAACCCGGCCUAGACAUUAUGGCCAAAUUUGGGAGUGUUACGAAGAAGGGUUUUAAAAUCAAUCUUAUUAUUAUUUUCGUUAAGGGAAAUAUUGUUAAUUUGAUCUUUCAGAAAACUUAUUUUGCAGCGGAAGUUUGAUAUUGUUAAAGUUGAAAAUCGAGUUUGUGUUUUCAGAAAAUAUUUGCUUGCGUAAAACCGUAGUUUUGUCAAAUCUCACAGUAUAAAAGUCAAAAAACACAUACAAAACCAAAAUUAAAACAAAUAGUCCAGAGAGUCCCAAAAUUACAAAACUCUCAACAACAAUUCAAAUUUUUAAAAACAUCGUUAAUCAAAAUAGUUCGCGAACUAGUGGUCACCACUGAGACUCUGUCGCACCGACCCGCCUAUGUCUGAGGACUACCUUAACAAAACAGAUAACAUAUGUGAGUUUUCAUAAACUCAGUGUGUAACCCAACAGAGAUAGACAUACAAAUAUACUCAGAAUUUCCAUAUGCAAAAUAGAUAUACAUACAAACAUAAGUCCUUAACAGAACCAGAUAGUUAGAACACAGAUAUGCAAAAUCUUACCCCCAUCCUCUACACACCAUCUCCGACCAUCCUAUCACACCAUGUGGGGUAUAAAACACCCACCCAUCCCUACAUACCACAUAGUGUCUGCACGACACUUAUCAGAAUAAUUUGCAGCUAUGCUGCUAGAGUAAGGGCAAAAUAUGGCCUCACAGAACAUUCCUCCAAUAAAUAGAUCCCACCCCAUAUAUAUAUAAAUAGCAGAUAAUAGAUAUAAUAAAAUUAUCAAGUCUUGCAUGCUUAUAUAUAUAUAUAGGUAGCAUACAUGUUAUUACGAACUAGUCAAACCAUACAUAUCAAUUUCUAAAUGCUCAAAUCAGACUAUCAGAAUACAUGUAUCAUGCAUUAGGGUAUGUUUUGCCCUUACCGACCCGACCGAAGGCCCACAGUCGAUUGAAUCGACUUAUGUGACCAUAGAGAAGAUUUCAGAAUUUUGGGCUUACAUGCUUGUGUGGGCCUACACGCCCAAAUUGGCCUUGCUCGUGUGGCCCACACGACUUGGCCCCAAAUUGGCCUAUCCCGUGUGUCGCACACGCCCAUGUGGCGUGAUAGACCACUUUUUUGGAUUUUACCGAACCUUAUUUUUCUGUGUUUUUGUUACACACCUGGUUCAUUUUUUAUGCUACAACAAUCCCGAGACCACCAGAACCUAACAAUCACAAUACACGCUCCCAAAAUCAGUCUUACUCCUCAAUUAAACCAAAUUACAGAAAUUGACUACAGUGGAAAUCGAGUGUUCAUCACUUACCCAACUUCCCGAAUGAUCUCUAUUCUACGAUUCCACAAGAGGAGAGCUCCGUUCCUCACAAUUCGCUGUUGCCAACAACUCAAAAAAUCAAUACUAACGAAAAAGACAACAUCGUUAAAAAGAAAAACCGCUUUCAAAUAAAUCUCCCCUAACCCAUGCUAAACCUUUCAACCACUACUUACCAAGCCGUACGAAAACAGGAAGACCGAAACACCUUGAUUUGAAAGGGAGGUUAUGACAGAAAUCAAAAAGAAAAGAAAAAGAAAAUUUUGACAAUAGGAGAAUAGAAAAACGUCAUAAGGGAAAAAAAAUUGGGAAAAGAAAAUAAAAAUAAAAUAAUAUUUAAAUAAAAUAUCCCUUCAACUCCCACUAAUCCACAUCCAACCAGCUUAGAAUUUCAGCUCCACCCAAACUCUAUCAGACUACCAAGACAAAAAUUAUCAUCCUUGCUCCCGCAGGGACUCGAACACAAGACCUUUAGGCAAGUUAACUCCUUACCACUCGAACCAGCAAGCUCAUUCUAAUACAAGUGUACCGGAAGUAUAACAUAAGCCCACCCAACAGGGAUAAGACUAGGAUAAAAAAUAUCAUAUUUUUCAAAAGUGAGACUUGAACUCAAGACCUCAAACACACAAUCAGAAUACUCAGCCACUGAAGCAAAUACAUAUUUAUGACAUAAUUCACAGAAACAAGGUUAAAUAAUCAAGGCGUUACAUGAUCUUUAUUGAUGGGCUAGAUAAAAUCCACAAUAUCAGCACAACCAAAAAAUUCGGUUCAAUAAAUUGUCAAUCACCUAGAUAUGAAAACAGUUUAACCAAUUGCAGUGCUUCAGGAAGUGACACUUCCUCAAGUAUAUCUUAGUCAUUCCAUAGUUUUCAACAAUCUUCCCUUUUGACAAUUUGUUGAACAAAACAUAAACAACAAUUGGAGCUAUAUCAUCAGGUAACUUUAUCUCCCCCUUAGCAUUUCCCAUUAUUUCCAAAACUAUCUUAGAAAAUAAUUAAGUAAAUUAACCAUAUGUUGGUGUGGAACUUUGGUGAGGAAAAUUUCAAACACAUAAAAGGAGCUCAAACGGACCAUGAACAACAACUCGAAUAGAAAAACAAAGCAAUAAAACAAGGUUCCAAGGCGUGUAUCAAACAUCUAUCUUUAAGGUUCUAUUUGCUCUACCUAUACUCGGUGUGGAAAUGAGUUUCAAGCAAAUGAACCUCAAAGAUACAAUGAAGCUCGGUGACUAUUUGCGACUUGUAUUGAUGAAAUAGUUCACUAAGCACAAAACAGAGUAUAACAAAAAAAAUAAAUUUCUAUAAAGAAUUUCGGUAGUAAUUCUUUAUAGAAUAAUCUAAUAAUAGUAGAAGAUGGAGGAAUGAUAGAAAAAUCUUUUGAGAAUUUUUUGUAUUUUUUCAACUGAAAUCUCACUCCCAUUUAUAGGAAUACUUAUGUCUCUUAAUAGGGACACAACUUUCGAUAGGUGUCUUUUCUGAAUAAUCCCUUUUUAAAAGAGACAUAAUUAUGCAACUAAUAUCUUAUAAUUAUUCAAGUAAUAUUACUAGUAUAGUUAUAAUUCUUUGUCAAAAAUCAAGUGAUAUAACUCUUGACCAAUAACCAAAAUACAUUAUAUCCUUUUCCUGUUAUAUGGCUCAGAAGAGCUUCCCGUUUACAUGCUUAUAUAAGCAUACAAGUACAUGAAUUGAUGGGUUAUAGAUUUGUACACUUCGUGUGUACUACCCGUGUAUCCAACGAUAUUUUAAAUCGUUCAACGGGCAAAGUUCUGAUAAGAAACAAUAUGAGUUUGAAAUGAACAAUUAUGGGUGUAUACUUGAAUUACAUGGAAAUGAUAUUGAUGAUAAUGAAACAUGAAAUGGGAUGAUACAUGUAUAUGGAACUUGCUUGGUGAUUAUGUUCACCCAUGUUUAUGGAAUAUUACAUGAGAUUCACAUGACUAACAUGUUGAGGAUAUGUGUAUAGGCUUUUGGCUAAAUUGGUUUGGAUAUGUUAUGAAUGCUUACCUUAAAUGUGAAUAAAUGGUAAGUUAAAUUCCAUGUUAUACAAACUUACUAAGCUUAAAUGCUUACUCUAUUUUAUUUUCCACGUUUUAUAGUAAUUCAGAAGCUCGAUUUGGUUGGAAGUUGGUCGGAGCUACUUCACACUAUCCAUCAGCUUUUUUGGUACAUAUAGUAAACUAAUUUUGGUUAUAAUGGCAUGUAUAGGUUAAUUUGGCCAAUGAUGGUAUACCAAUAUUUUAUUGAAAUUAGCCAUUUGUAUGGCUUGUAUUUGGUAUAUUUUGAUGUAUAUAUACUUGUGGCCUUAUCAUGUUUGAUGUGUGCUUGAUGUGGUUGAAUAUGGGAUAAUUUAUAAGCAUAUUGAUGAUUGGUAUGAGAGAGUGUAUAUUUGGUAAAAAUAUUCAUAUAUGUGUAUUUGGUCAAUUUGGCAAGUUUGAAUACUUGGAUAUAUGUGUUGAUAUGUUAUGUAUAAAACUUUUUUUUAGCUUGAUUUGAAUGCCUUGUUAUGACUUGAUGUUGUGUAAGUGUUGUGUUAGGUUGAUGAUAAAUGAGGUAAGAAAUGUGGCUUGGAAAUGACCUAUUUUUGGCCACACAGGCAGAACGGGUGUGUGUCCCCUGUAUAUUAAAUUUGCACAAAAUAGAAUGCUUACACGGCCUAGCACACGUGUGUGUGGAUUGGCCGUGUGACAAGUCAUAGAGCUCAUAAGUUUGGACAUGGGUUGGGAAACGGCCGUGUGUCCCUAUUUUGAAUACCCACAUGGCCUGAGACACGGGCAUGUCUCUUGACUGUGUGAGACACAUGGCCUAGCCAUACGGGUGUGUGUCUCAUGCACCUUUGAAAAUUUUUAAUAUUUUCUGAAAAAUUCUUUGAGUACCUGAUUUAGUCCCGACUUGUUUUUAAUGUGUAUGUUGGGCCUCGAGGGCUCACAUAAGGAACAUUAUGCUUGAUUACGACUGUUUUCGGAUAUGAAUGCUAUAUGAUAUGAAAUAUCUGUUUAUUUGUUUUGUAAAUUCUGGUAAUGCUCUGUAACCCUAUUUCAGCGACGAACACGAGUUAGGGGUGUUACAACAACCUAAUGUCGAAAAGGGUGAGAAUCAAUGUCUUUAGGUUAUUGCCUAGAAUGAGUUUGUUAUGUAUGAGGUUAUGCUUGAGGGCGUGCAUGAUUAAGGAUAUAUAGGCGAGAAUAAGGUCUUGAUGACCCAAGAGGUGGAAGACCAUGUCGAGAACUCUACAACCAAUUCCUAGUUUGAUGGUGCAAUAAAGGAGGAUGUGAAAAUUGAUGAGCUCAAAGUAAAGGGUAUUGGUGCUGAUGGUGUGGGCAAAGGCGAUGCCCAAUGCUUGACAAAUUUGACAAGGAGUAAAGUCAGACAUAUAAUAAAAUUUAUUAUUUAUAAAAUAAACUAAAAAAAGAUAGAGAGAAAAGUUUGAAUAUGAUUUAAGUCUUGUUUGUGAGGGUUUUUUUAAAUAUUUUAUUUAUAAAAGUAUUAUUUUAAUAAAUAAAUUUUAUGUUAGAAAUAAGAGAAAAUGGGUAUUCAUUUAGUAUGCAUAUUUAUCAAAAAAUAAACUUUUAAAUAUUUUUAUUUUUGAAUUUUCAAGAAGUAAAAUUAAAUUGACAGAAUGUGUAAAGUUGAGAGCUAAAUUUGUUGGUUUUUUAGAUUUAAGGCUAAAUUGAUAGAAUCUAUCAACAUUGGAGGGUUAAACUUGUUAUCCAAUAAAAAAGGCCACUGUUAGUGAUUUAACAAAGGAGAGAUCAAAAUAUUAAAUUUCAAUAAUGAUAAUGACUAAAAUAGAAAAUUUUAAACUUGAGUGACCAAAAUAGAAACACACUAAUAAUUGGGUGACUAUUUUUAUACUUUGCCCUAGAUUGAAUAAUGGUUACCAAUUUUCGACCCCUUUGUUGGGUGACUAAUAAUUGGCUUGACUUACUUUUGAGCAAUCUAAAGUCUUUCCACUAUGUCGUUUAAAAACAUCAACAAGUGCUUAUCACCUUAUAAUAUAAUAGUCUAAUUUGAGAGAAACUUCAGUAUUGGGAUAAUUUUAUAAUCAAUUGGACAACGAAGCUAUCAGUUUUGUUCUUCAAGGAUAAUUAAGGUCUGGUAUGGAAACAUAACCGAUCCCUAAAUUUCCUGGACUUUGUUGUGCAUUUUAAAGUCUUUCUUUGGGUAAAUUGUAAAAAUAGUCACUCAAUUUUGGUUAAAUUUAUUUUUUUAUCAUUGAAUUACAAGAAGUUACGUUUUAGUUACUAACAGUAUCGAGUUAUAACGUAUUGGUCACUUGUCCAUUAACCGUCGUUGCAUCUUUGAAAGUGAUGUGGCACGUUAACUCAAGGGUUAAUAUCUAAAUUGACUCUAAAUUAUAGUUAAAAUAUUCUAUUUGGUCUUUUUACAACUUUUUAAUGAUGAUUCUAAAAUUAUUCAUUAAAAAUACAAGAAAAUGAAAAUUUUCAAAAAUUAUUUAUUUAUUUUUUAAAACAAUAAAAAUAUUUAUUAGAAAUUAUUUAUUUAUUCAUUAAAAAUGCAUUCUUUCAUGAAUCUUUUUACUGUAGCUUUUUAGAAAAUGUCGCGGAUAAUAUUGUUUUUCGUGAUGUUUUCUAAAAAGGUUACAAAAAAAACAUAGUUUUUAUGAUGUUUUUGCAAAUAGACACAAAAUAGAAGUCCCGAAAAUUAGAAUUCUCAUAGCGAUGACUCAAUCCCUUACCUUUAUUGUUUUAAAAAUAAUUUUUUAAAGAAAUAGGAUCUCAUGCAUAAUUGUUGAUGCACAUUAUAUUUAUGUUAUACCUCUCACAUUCUCAAUGUGUUGUAUUGUUGAACAAGUAAUCUUGUUACUUCUAUUGUGGCAAAUUCAAUGGAGGGAGUUGUCUUCUUAUUUCUACCACAAAAAGUUUCUCAAUUUAUUUCAUUGGGUGAAAAUCUAAUGGCAAUCAACAAAUUAGAUAACAAUUCCCAUGGUACUCGUUGGAUAACCCGGCCAUCUUUUUUUACGGGAUGUAAACUUUUCUAAAUAAUAAGAAAAGAAAAGAAAAGUUUGGGCAUUUCAAUUUAAGUAGCUCACCUCUAAUUGCUUACCUCCAUUAUUUUAGUAUACCUCAAUUAAUGAUUUCCCAAAUCAUUAUAAGAAUUAAUACCUUUCAAGACGAAUGUGUAACAUUUAUAACACUAUACUUUUCUUAAGACUUAGAUAUAAACUUUCCCCCUAGCUUUUAUAGUUGUUAUAUAGUCGUUGACAAGUCAUGUCUUGAGGCAAUCUAUCAAUUGUCUCUAGACACACUGCACAAUGUCUCAAGAAAGGCCGAUAUGAAUCAGUAUAAGUCAAUAUUGACUGAAACAAGCUAAAACAUACUAGAAUGGUCGAUACGCAUCAAAAUCUUAACCAAUACAUCGUAUUGGUUGAAGACCAGAAAGAUACGUAUCAAGCGUGUUCUAUGUUGAUAUCUCUUUUAUGUGCUGCUUUAUAUUUUUGUUCUUCUAAUAAGAUUUGUUUGGCUUAUAAAAAACUAUUUUUAUUAAAAUAAAAUAAAUGAAAACCUUAUGCAAAGAUUGAAAAAUGAGAUCAAAAUUUUCUAUGUUUUGAUAUUGAGCAUUUAAUAAUUUGUAGCUAUAUUCUACAAAGAAAAAAAAUUGCACCAAUACAAUUUCAUAAAAUUAUUACAAAUGAUCAUAAAAAUUUAGCGAAAUUUAAUAUUUCUAAUUGAUAUAAUUGGGAAUGGUUAUGCGAUUAAUAAUAAUCUUUUUGAACUUUGUUUAAUACAUGAUUUAUGCAAAACAAUAUUGGCAACUUAAAUUUCUGCAUGUCUUUUUAGAGCAUAAUAGAUUGGCGGAUUGUAUAGCCAAAGUUGUUCCUAGUAAUCUUAACAGGUUAUCAACUUUUGAAAACCAAGUUGAUCAUGCUCAAUCUUUGUUAGAAGAAAAUACUCAUCCAACAAUGAUUAAUAUAGAUUCCCAUCAACUUUAUUGUAACUAAUUGCUUGAACUUAUUUCUUUUUUUAAAAAAUUCACAAAAUACAAAAAUAACUAUUAAUAAACUUUAUAGCAAAACAAAGCAUCAGUAUAAAUAUUUAUCAAAGACAUUUCUAGAAAGCAAAGCUUAUGUUUAUUUUAGUCAACUUGAUAGCUACCACUUCAUCGAACUCAUUCUAUAUCUCUUAAUAACUUCACUUUGAUCUUCUUUAACUUUGUAACAAUCUCUUUCAUAUGAAGCCUCUCAUUUGGUAACUCAAAACAACAUUCUAAGCCCAGUUGCAAAAUGGAUAAGGCACAAUUCUGGACUUUUAAAUCUUCCCUUCCAAUGGUGCUCAACAACUUGGGAUCUACAGCUUGAUUUAGCGAAGAUGAUUUCGACUCUAUCACCCAACUCUUUAAGCUUCUUUCUCCUUCAAACAUUUCAUCUGUGGGCUUUUUUCUUGUGAUGAUUUCCAUCAAAAGAAUACCAAAGCUAUACACAUCACCUUUUGUCGAAACAAUUCCUUCGAUUCCAUAUUCUGUGUAUGAAUAUAAAAACAACAUUAUGAAUAUUCAAAGAUAUCUUGAUAAUGAAAAAUCCGUAUAAAAUAUACGAAACAUUAUAUGCUUGCAUGUUAUAAUUGAACUGGGAUUUAAUCUAGUUGCUUCCUUAAAAAGUCACAUUUAAUAUGUUUGAAACUCAAAUCUUAACAUAUAUGAUCCCUUUUGUUAUGCACAUGCUACGCUUACAUUGAAAAUGGAAAAAUAAACAUGGAGUCUGGUUAGAAGUAUCACCUGGUGCCAUAUAUCCAAAUGUUGCAAUUGUCAUGGUUUGUAUCAUUGAAACCUCUUCACAUAAGAGUUUGGUGAUGCCAAAAUCACUCAAAUGCGCAACCAUAUCUUUAUCUAAUAGAACAUUGUUGGGUUUUAAAUCACAGUGAACCACGGGUGUUGCAUUGUCGUGAUGGAGAUAUUCCAAUGCAGAUGCAACAUAUAUCAUUAUGUUCAACCUUUGUAGGAUAUCCAAAUAUUGGUUGUUGGAAUGCAACCAUUUAUCAAGACUCCCAUUAGGCAUGAACUCAAGAACCAACGCUUUGAAAUUAAGAUCAUUUGAGCAACUGCUUAUUACUUUGACUAAAUUUCUGUGACGAAUGUUGCGGAGAACAUCACAUUCAACAUCAAAGCUCUUAAAAGCUCAUUCUAACUCUAACUUGAAGAUCUUUACCGUAAUGAUCAUCCCAUCUGGGAGAGUCGCGUGAAAUAUUGAACAAUAACUUCUAUUACCAAGCAACCUACUAUCACUGAAUUUGUUGAAGUUAGCCUGCAAGCUGACAAGAAGCAACAGGAGCUUCCCAAGCCUAGUAGUUCCAGCUGAGGUUCAUGCUGCUGAUUUAUUUUGCUACUUUUGAAUGAUAUUUUGUAACUAGUUAGAUUAAAACUACAUUUUUGAUGUACUUGAUGUAAUUUGUUGAUGUUUGGGCUGAUAAAUCAGCUUUGCAAAGUGUACAAGUUAAGUUUGACAAGUUUCAAUGUACUUAAUGGUAGUAGGUAGUGUUUAGGUAAUUAUUUUAUUUCUCUUUGACCAACUUAUGUCUGGUAUAUGUAUUGGCAUUAUGCCAUUCUUCAAGUUAAUGAAAUAUUCAUCAAAGAAUUCAUCAUUCAAUGCUCUCAUGAUUCAUUUCUUUUCUUUUGUUCUUUAAGCAAAAUUCUAUUUUGUUUACACAGGAAGCAUCAAGCCUUCUAGCUCAAGAAAUUACUUGUUUCAUUCAUUUGUUCCAACAAUUGGUAUCAAGAGCUUAUUUCUUAGUGGACCUGUUAUUUUUAAAAUUUAAAAAAAAAUCAUUUAUUCAUCUGGUUUCUCUCCAACUCCACCACCAGUGUUUAAUGGUGAAGGCUACCACAUUUGGGCAGUGAAAUUGAAGACCUACCUGUAGGCAUUCGACUUGUGAGAGGUUGUUAACUUUGAUGUUGAACCAGCACCUCUAAGAGUCAAUCCCACAGUGGCUCAGAUCAGGCAGCAUAUAAAUGAAAGAACCAAAAGACACAAGGCCAUGUCUUACAUCCAAAAUAGUAUGUUUGAUGUGAUUUUCACAAGGAUCAUGGCUUGUGAGUCACCAAAGUAGGCUUGGGAUAGGUUGAAUGAGGAGUUUCAAGGGACUAAGAGAACAAGAUAGCAACAACUCCUGAAUUUGAGAAGUGACUUCGAAAAUUUAAAGAUAAAGGAGGAGGAAACUGUAAAGUAAUAUUUAGACAGAAUUAUGGCCGUUGUGAACAGCAUCAGAUUGCUUGGGGACCAGUUUAGUGAACCAAGAAUUGUAGAGAAGGUUAUCUCAACUUUUCCUGAGAGAUAUGAAGCCAAGAUUUCUUCCCUUGAAGACUCGAGAGAUCUGACUAGUAUCUUUUUGACUAAGUUGAUCAAUGCUCUUUAUGCACAAGAGCAAAGAAGGGUCAGCAAGCAGGAGGAGCAUCAAGAAGGUGCCUUCCAAGCCAAAAGUAGACCUGCCUCGACCUCCUCUGGCUACAAAGGGAGAAAGGCCUGGUCUGAUAAGCCAAGAAGAGAUGGAGCAAGAAGAAGAUAUCCACCUUACCCACAUUGUAGAAACCUCAGUCAUCUAGGAGAAAAUUAUUAGUUUAGGCCUGAUGUGCAGUGCAAAGUCUGCAAAAAGAUGUGCCAUGUUGAGAAAGUCUGUAGAAAUAAAGGCAAGCUGAGACAAAACCAACCUCAACAGCCAAAAGAAAGAGCAAGUCUUUGCAGUCUCUUACUCAGAUGCCAAAAGAAAAGGCAGAAAAUAAUGGCUGAUAGACAGUGGUUGCACAAACUACAUGACUCCUAAUGUUGUUAUAUUCAAGAACAUUGACAAAAGCUUUUAAACAAUGAGAUAUUGUUGGAUUUACUUCUUGAAGCACAAAUCAAAAGUAACCCCAGUAUUUUGAAAGUUUAAGGCUGCAGUAGAAACAUAAACAAGUUGCAAGUUGAAGACAUUGAGGUCAGAUAAUAGGACAGAGUACACCUCAGCAAUGUUUCAGAGUUUCUGUGAUGAAGAAGGCAUCAAGCACCAACUUACCAACACCUAGACACCUCAACAGAAUGGUGUUAGUGAAAGAAAUAAUAGAAGCUUAAUGGAUAUGGCAAGAUGUCUAUUGUUUGAGAGAAAUUUUCCCAAAACCUUAAGGGCUGAAGCUAUUAACACUGUUAUUUAUCUUCAAAAUAGGCUACCAACUAAGGCUUUGGUUCAUAAAACUCCAUUUGAUGCUUGGUUUGGGUACAAACCAUCACUUGCUCACCUAAAGGUCUUUGGCUGCAUUUGUUAUACACAUGUUCCUACUGUCAAGAGGGACAAGUUAGCCAAAAAGGCACAACAUGGUAUCCUAGUGGGCUACAGUAGUGUGAAGAAAGGCUAUAGGAUUCUGGAUCCUUCAACCAACAAAGUCUUUGUGAGCAGAGAUGUUGUGUUUAAUGUGAAUUCAGGCUGGAACAAGAAUAAAAAUAAACCAGAAAUAGUUGCUAAAGAUCUAAUGAUAGAUCAGACUGAAGCUGAUUGAAAUGAUCUUGAAAUAGACAUUGACCAUGAGCCAGUUAGGGGAACCAGACCUUUGAGUAAGAUAUAUGAAAGGGCGGAAGUGGCUACUGUUGAACCAAGAUACUUUGAAGAAGCUGAAGCUCAACAAGGAUGGAAACAGGCUAUGCUCAAUGAAAUGAGCAUGAUUUCCAAGAACCAAACCUAAGAGCUAGUUGCUAGACCAGCCAACAGGAAGAUCAUAGGAGUGAAACGGUUGUUUCGAGCCAAGCAAAUUGCUGAUGGAACUUUGAACAAGCUAAAGGCAAGACUGGUAGUGAAGGGAUUUAGUCAGAAGUAUGGCAUUGACUACUAUGAGACAUUUGCACCAAUAGCCAGGCUUGACACAAUUAGGCUGCUAGUUGCUUUGGCUGUACAGAAGCAGUGGAAAAUUCAUCAACUUGAUGUAAAGUCAAUCUUCCUCAAUGGUUUUCUUAAUGAGGAAAUCUAUGUUGAACAGCCUAAAGGUUUCAAAGUUUUUAGUGAAGAGGACAAAGUGGAUAAACUGAAGAAGGCCUCGUAUGGCUUGAAACAAGCAUCAAGAGCCUGGUAUGACAGAAUCAAUAGCUACCUAGCUAGCUCGGGGUUCGAAAGAAGUAUCAGUGAACCAACCUUGUAUGUAAAGAAAAAUGGCAAUGAAACACAGCUCAUAGUGUCUCUAUAUAUUGAUGACCUGCUGGUGACAGAAGAAAGUUAUAAAAUGCUGGCUAAUAUCAAAGAUAAAAUGAAGAAAAGUUUGAGAUGUCUGAUUUGGGAUAAAUGUCCUACUUCCUGGGAAUGGAAGUGUUUUAAACUCAGCAUGGGGUCUUUCUAAGUCAGAAGGCAUUUUUCUUGAAGAUUUUGAACAAGUUCUCCAUGUUGAAUUGUAAAGCAAUAAGUACUCCAGUUGCUGUUGGAGAGAAGCUGUCAAGCCAAGGUGAUUUUGAGAAGGUAGAUAACACAACCUACAGAAGUUUGGUUGGAUGUUUACUCUAUUUGACAGCCACUAGACUAGAUAUCAUGUUUGUUGUAAGUCUGCUAUCUAGAUUCAUGCACUGCUGCAAUGAGAAGCAUUUUCAACCUGCCAAAAAAGUUCUCAGAUACAUCAAAGGUACACUGAGUUUUGGAAUGAUGUUCACCAAGACUGAAAGCUUGAAGCUGCUUGGAUAUGUUGAUAGUGAUUGGGCUGGAUCGAUAGAUGAUAUGAAAAGCACAUCAGGGUAUCUGUUUACCCUUGGUUCAGUAAUUUUUUGUUGGAGUUCAAAGAAGCAAACUGUUGUUGCUCAAUCAACUGCUAAAGCAGAGAAUGUAGCAGCUGCUAGUGCAGCUAACCAAGCCAUUUGGCUAAGAAAGAUCAUGACAGACCUGAAUCUACACCAAAGGGAAGCAACAGAGAUCAAAUGUGACAAUUAAUCUGCUGUUGCAAUUGCAAAGAAUCCAGUGUUCCAUAGGAGAACAAAGCACUUCAAGAUUAAGUUUCAUUUUGUUAGGGAAAUGGAACAAACUCAAGAGGUGAAACUGAUUCAUUGCAGUUCUGAGGAUCAAUUGGUUGAUAUCUUGACAAAGCCCCUUAAUGUAACAAGGUUUGAGCAUUUUAGAGUCAAAUUGAAAGUUUGCAGCAUGCAAGCCAAGGAGGAGUGCUGAAGUUGGCCUGCAUGCUGACAAGAAGCAAUAGGAGCUGCCCGAGCCUAACAGUUCCACCUGAAGUUCAUGCUGCUGAUUUAUUUUGCUACUUUUGAAUGAUAUUUUGUAACUUAGUUAGAUUAGAACUAAGUUGUUGAUGUACUUAAUGUAAUUUGGUUGAUGUUUGAGCUGAUAAAUUAGCUUUGCAAAGUGUACAAGUUAAGUUUAACAAGUUUCAAUAUACUUAGUGGUAGUAGGUAGUGUUUAGGUAAUUAUUUUAUAAUUUUAAAUUAUAUAUAUACAUACAUAUAUUUUUCAUAUUUUUAUAAUUUUAUGUAUAUACACAUACACAUAUAUAUUUUAUAAUUUUUAUUUAUUUCCUUUAUUGUUUCGUUGUUUCGCAUGAUGUUUACUUUUUUAUUUAUGUGCCCAUUUUAUUUCAAAGAUAUUUUAAUUUGACUUGUUUAUUUACUUAUUAUCUUACAUAAUUGAUUCGUCUUUUUAUUUAUCUUUUAUUUGCUAUUGCUCGUGCUAUUUAUGCUUGUAUCAUCGUAUUUAUUAUUGUUUUGUUAUGCAUACCAACAAUGUAAUUUAUUUUCGCAUUUUUUACUAUGACAUCGUGUUUCAUUUUUACUCGAUAUAUCAAAUUUUUUUUAAAUAAAUAGCUUUUCGUAUUUUCAGAUUCGAAAAAGUCGUACCCUAACUUACGGGGUUUUGAUUUUCCUUGAUAAAUUCAAAUAUACGAAUCUUUUCAAACAUAAGUUUUUUAAACGAUCUCGGGGAUUAACAAAUGAUCGUGUUCUAACUUACGGGACGUGAUCUCUUUUCUAAACUAGAGAUAGUUGAAUAUCUUUUUAAACAAGUAAAUUUUGGCAUUUAUUCUCGUAUCGAGAAUUCAAUACAUUGUGUCCUAACGCAUUGGAUAUGACAUGUUUUCUCGAGAUGAGGGUUUUUCUAAAAAACAAUAAAGGCAAUAUUCAAUGUUUGGAAUUUUGAGAAAUUGGGCCCGAACAUAUUGUGCUUCGAUUUCUUCAUCUGACUUAAACAAUUGAAUAUCCUUUUAAAUUUCAUUGCAUGAGUUUUUUUAAAGGACAACCUCAUUUUUGAGGAUGUGAAAUAUCAUGCCCUAACCCAUUGGGUGUGACAUUUUUUCUCUUCGAAAUGAGAGGGUCUUAACAUGUAAUUUGAUUUAUACAAGUUUUAAAUAAAAGGAUUAUAUUUUAAAUCUCUUCAAAAUCUUCAAUUUUCGACACCAAGACACUAAUUAAUCAACUAGGUACCAAUUUUGAGCGUUACAAGGGUGCUAAUCCUUCCUCGUACAUAAUAGACUCCCGAACCCAUUUUUCUAAAUUUCGUGGACCAAAAUCGUUGUUUUAAUAAAAUCAAAUCGUUUAUUAAAAACAACCACUUUUCGAGGUGACCCGAUCACACCUCAUUAAAAAAGAUUGGUGGCGACUCCCACGUUCAUUUUUCAUUUUCAAAACCCAAGUCGACCCCGUUUACAAAAAAAUGGUUUCGACAGCUUGGCCCAAAUACAUGUCUAAAAAAUCAAUAGUAUCAAUACCCUUAACAAAGUAUCGGUACCUUUCACAAAAGUAUUAAUACCACUUUAAGGUUCGAUGUUUUGAAAAUUAAAGAAAAAUUACCUGAAUGUUGAUACCAGCCCCAAGGAAUCAGUACCUCAUAGCAAGUAUCGAUACAUUUCUUAUGGUACAGAUACUUUAGGCUUUAAUAUGGGUUGAGUCAGUUCGAGCCUGAGUUUAACAUGAUGUGGGUUGGGUUUGGACAAAAAUUUAGGCCUAUUUUUUGGGCCGAGCUUAGGCCUAACAAUCAAGCCUAAAGUUUUGUUAGGGCCCAUCCCGAACUCGGCCCGACCCGGCCCAUGGAGAACUCCAAGUAUAAUGACUUGUAUAUAGAGGUGAUUAUGGGCCGGGCUGGGCCCAAAAAAAUUUUAUGCCUAUUUUCUAGGCCCGGUCUCAGCCCGACCCAAAAUAUGUGCCUAAAAAUUUGUCCAAGCCCGGCCCGAAAGAAAAUUGUUAAGCCCGAGCCCGGCCCAUCCCGACCCAUAUUUGAUUAAAAAUUAAAAAAUAUUUAAUAUAUAAUUUGGAUUAAAGUCCAAAAAAUAUAUAUAUUUAAUAAAAAGUAUAUUUUAUUAAAAAUAAAAAUAAAAAUAUAUAUUUAAUAUAUAAUUCGGGCUGGGCUGGGCCGGGCCAAAAAAGUCUUACCCGAGGCCUGACCCGUUUUCUAAAUGGGCUUCAUUUUUUGCCCAAACCCAUAUUUCAGGCCUAUUUUUUUACCCGAACCCUCCUAUUUUUUAGGCGGACCGUUGGGCCGGGCCGGGUAGCCCAACCCAUGAUCACCUCUACUUGUAUAGCUCUUCAGGUUUAUAAAAAAAAGGUCAUUUUAGCAUUCUAUUUAAUUUUUUAUAUCUUUUAGCCUUUAAACUUGUUAUGUUGGUCAAAUCACCUCAAAACGGAUUGAAAAGUCCACUUGUAUGUCACAUCAACAAAUUAAUUUUUUAAAAUUUAAAAAUUCAAAACAAUUAUAAAAAUUAUUUUAAAAAACUUUAAAAAUUAUUUUUUUUUAAAAAAUUGAAAUUUAUUUAAUUGCUAAUAUGGCAUACAUUUAUGCAUGUCACGUUAGCAAAGUUAACGAACAUUAAUUUUUCCAUCCAUUUUUGGAGUAAUUUCACAAACAAUGCAAGUUUAAGGGCUAAAAAAAGUGAAAAAUUAAAUAGUGAACUAAAAUGAUUUUUUUUAUAAAGUUGAAGGGAUAAAUAAAUCAUUAUGCCUAAAGUAAAUAAAGCACCAUUAACAAGAUAUUUAACAUUAUAUUAGGUGUCAUACACGCUUCCAAGUCGAGUUGGAAAUUAAAGAAUAGUUCUCUCAUCAUUUUCUGGUAGUUUAUUAGUUUAUUUUUCAAUAUUCUUUUGAAAAUUAAUAUAUUCAUUAACAAAUGGUUAGCAUAUAUUACCUUCAAAGUGGUCCCCACCAAUAUAGAUGUAUUGAAGCAUACUCAAAUUCCCAAUUUCUAUUGGUAGGCUCCCCUCCAUUUGGUUAUACGAUAAAGAUGACAUUUGUAACUCUUUGCACUUGAAUAGACUGGCAGGAAUUCUACCCGAGAGCAGGUUAAGACUCAAAGCAAAUUCUUUCUAAUUUGGAAGAUGAUCGAACAUAUCUUCUGGGAUAUGACAACUGAGAUUAUUGAAAUUGAAAUCGAUGCCUUCUAGCAAAAGAAAAUCUCUCGUGGAAUAGAGGGUAUGAAACCAGAGAGCAUAUUAUUGUUUAGAUCAAUCUUUUGCAACUAAGAUAUAUUAAAGAUGGAGGAGGGUAUUGAACCUGAAAUCCAGUUUUUAGACAAGACCAAGAUCUGUAGCUUUGACAAAUAGCCUAAAGAGAAUGGAAUAGCACCUUUGAAGUUGUUGUGGUACAAAAACAAUCUUCGAAGUGCAGUUAAAUGAUCUCAACCAUGAUGGGAUUUCUCCACUGAAGGAGUUGUUACCAAAGCUUAAAUAUUUCAGCCGAUGCAAUUUGGAUAACUAGACAAGUAAUCUGCCGUAGAAACUAUAUUACCUGUCCAGUUAUCCAANNNNNNNNNNNNNNNNNNNNNNNNNNNNNNNNNNNNNNNNNNNNNNNNNNNNNNNNNNNNNNNNNNNNNNNNNNNNNNNNNNNNNNNNNNNNNNNNNNNNCAUCGGCUGAAAUAUUUAAGCUUUGGUAACAACUCCAAUUUCCCAAGUGAGGUGGAAGGGUGCCUACGAGUCCCAACCCAAUAAGGUUUAGAGCUGUGACUCUACGGUGCUUGGAUCCACAACUUACAGGCACUAUAGCAAAACAGGUUUUUAGCCACACUUUUAGCGGCAUUUGGAUAAAAAAUGCCGCUAUAGAUCGAUUAUUAGCGGCGCUUUCUGAAAAACGCUGCUAUAGAUCGAGCAUUAGCGGCACAUUUUGAAAAACGACGCUAUAGGUCAAACAUUAGCGGCGCUUUUUGAUAACACCGCAAAAAAUUAAACACAACGCAGUCGUUUUGUGUUAAGCUUUUGUGGCAUUAACGGCACUUUUUGAAAAACGCCGCUACAUAUCGAGCAUUAGUGGCGUUUUUUGAAAAACGCCGCUAUAGAUCGAGCAUUAGCGGCGCUUUUUGAAAAACGCCGCAAAAAAAUUAAACACAACGCCGUCGUUUUGUGUUAACCUUUAGUGGCAUUAGAGGCGUUUUUUGGAAAAUACCGCUAUAUAUCGAGCAUUAGCGGUGCUUUUAGAAAAAUGCCGCAAAAAAUUUAAGCACAACACCAUCGUUUUAUGUUGAGUUUUAGUGGCAUUAGCGGCGCUUUUAGUAAAACGUCGCUAGAGAUGGAGCAUUAGCGGCGCGUUUUGAAAAACGCCGCUAUAGAUCGAGCUUUAGCGUCGCUUUAUCGAAAAUGUCGCAAAGAGCAUUUUAUCUGUUUUAACUGGUUUAUUUAUAUUAAUUAAAAUACAGUUUAUUUUUAAUUGAAUAUUUAAAUUCUUCAAAAAAAUAAUAACACGUAGAAAAAUUUUGAAAGUAAAAAUAUAGAAAAAUAUUUGUUAAAAAUAAAAAAUAAAAUACCAUUAUUUAAAAUAAUUUUAAAGUUUUUUGGUACAUGACUGAUUGUUUUUUAAUUUAUAUAUUAAAUAAUUUCUUAUAUAAUCGUAAAAGAGAUAGUAUUAUUUUUAAAAUAUUGAAUUAAUUAUCAUUGUAGUUUAGAGUUUAGGGUAUAAGGCUUAGGAUUUAAGGUUUAAGGUUUAGGAGUUAUUAUUUUAAGGUUUAUGGAUUAUGGGUGUAGGGAUUAUAGUUUAAGGUUUAGGGGUUGAGGUUUAAGGUUUAGGGGUUAAGGGUUAAGGGUUUAUGUUUUAUGUUUUAUGAUUUAGGGGUUAAGGGAUAGGGGUUUAAGGUUUGUAUUUAAAAAUAUUUAAUCUAAAUCAUUUGAUAUAUUUAAAUAUUAGAUUUAAAAAAGAACAUUGAUAAAUAAAUAAAUAAAAAUAACAUAUCUAUAUGAAUAGUUAACUAUCUAUUUUAGAUAGAACCAAAUUAUAACAAAUAAAAAUAAAAUAUAAAAACUAAAAUCAUUCCACAUCACUUUUUAUCCCAAAAUUUCCCCGGGAACCCCUAAUUUUUCCCUCCUAAAAUCCUUGAAGUGUUUCUCUCUGCCACCACAAUCUUCAUCAUCAUCUUCCCCUCUCUCCCUCUUUUUGCAUACAUCUCAGAAGAGGAAAAAGAAAAAAAGGUAAAGAGAAAAACAACGCAAAUGGAAGAACCUCAAAACGGAAACGGAAAGUUGAAUACUAUCGCAGAGGAAGAGGAGGAGCCGGUUAUAGGACCAGGACCCGCCCCUCGAGCUCAACCGAAGCGCCCGCUCCAGUUUGAACAAACAUAUCUCGAUUCCCUACCUUCAACUAACAUGUAACUUUCUUCUUCUUCUUCUUCUUCUUCUUCUUCUCACUUCAGUAAUUAUUUAUUUAUUGGAAUUUUGUCGCUUUCUCAUGGUUUCCGUAGGGUUUAAUGAAAUUAUCUUCUUUGCUUUGGAGUUUAGGGUUUUGAAUUCAAGCUUCAGCCUUUUUUCAUUUUGUUUUUUUAAGUGAAAAAAGAAGCAAGGAGCAAAGGAACCGACAAAAUAAACCUUAAUUUCUUUGUACUGAAGUUGCGAAUAAAGAGCUCCAAGAGCUCAUGAUGUAUGCCUCUUUUUUUUGUGUGUGUGAUUUCUAGGUAUGAGAAAAACUAUAUGCAUCGAGAUGUAGUUACUUAUGUUGCUGUAUCGUCUGCAGAUUUUUUUCAUCACUGGAAAUGUUGAUGGUAAGCUUUAUGAUGUCAAUAUUUAUAAAACAAUAUCUGAAAGUCCCAAUAUUGUAUUGAUAAAAGAAAGUGUCAUUAUCUAAAGUCUGCUUUAAGUGUAUAUAUGCUUCUUUUCUCAUUCGGGUUUUUCGUUUAAAUUUUAUCAGUAAUAUUUGAGGCUUUAACAGUGAAUGGGAUUUUGGUACUGGCUUAUAGAUUGCUUGUCUUCAUUUUAUUUAUUUAUUUUUACUAGGGCAUUUGAAAUUUUGGAAGAGGAAAGCAGUUCGGAUUGAGUUUGCAAAGCAUUUUAGAUCCCACCUGGAUCCCAUUGAAGGUCUCUCGGUGAGUUUUCCCUCCUUAUUUCCCAUAUGCAUAUUUUAUUGACUGCUAUGGAAGGCUUAAGUGAAAGUUGGUGUUAUUGCGAUAAUUAACACCAGCUAUUGUGAAUUACUUAGUUAAUUUCUGAUCUCCUGUCUAAUUACAUUUGUCACUGCUUCUUUUUAAUAGCGGAUUUUUAUUUCAUUGACAAUGAGCCCAUGAUUGCUUUAGAUUGCUAGUCCACCUAGAUCUUGCACAGGCUAUUUGUUAUCUUCUUUCAUCCAGUGAAAUUUUGUUUCUGUUGAUGUUCUGAUUUUUAUAUUCACCCCAUGCAAUCUAAGUUGCAAGAACAUCGUUGCUGUUGAUGUUUUUGUUUCUCUCGAUUAGUUGUUGCUGUGAAUCUGAUUUGAAAGGUAUGCAAAAGCUGUUAAGACUUAGGAUUGAUGACAGUGAUAUAAUUGUUUAUGAAAGAAACUUGGUGUGAUAUCCUUAACCGGUUCUAUCAUGAAAAUAAUAGUUAUCCUACUUGAUUUUGCUCAUGGCGAAAAGGUAGUUAUAUUGCAGCAGAGUCAUGAAACUUAGGCAGUAACAAGAUGAUCCAUAAAGAAUAAAGCAGAAUAGCACAUAUACAUUUUCAUUUAAUUGAACAUAGGUGCAAUGGUGCAGCUUUACAUGCAUGAUAAUAUAACACAAAUAUAAUAGAAGGUUGGGGUCAUAAUGGCACAAUGUUUGGAUUUCUGUUUAGUUUUUUUUACCAGAAAUUUUCGGUGUGAGAGUGACCUUAGCGUUGGAAAGGUAAAUAAUUGGAAAACUUAAGGUAAUUUUUGGGGUUUUUUAAUAAAAAAAGAAAAAGUAAGAGUGUAUGAGAAUAUGAUGUGAAGACAUUUUUAGGAUCAUGAAUAACAUGAUCUUUUAAUGCUAGAAGAGCUGAUUGAUCUGUAAGUAUGGUGGUUAAUUUCAUCAAGAAAGUAGGCAUAGAAAAAUGGAAGAUGAUAAGAAGAGCUAAGUUGAGGAAAGUAUUCCCCAUUUGAAUUUGGGUGUUUAUGAAGCUACCAACAAAGGCAGAACUAAGAUUGCUAGACAGAUAAUUGAAUGACCACACAACUUCUUUUACAUAAUAUGUGUGUAUAUAUAAAGGGAGUUUAUGUUGCAAUUUCUUUUUGCGAGAAUGCAAAUGCUUUUAAUGCGAUUUACGUAUAAACUAUGGAAUUUAUUAUAGGAUGUGAUAAUAUAAUUAUGUAAUUAUUGCUUAAGAAACUUCUUUCUAAAUUUCUUUUUAUUCUUAAGAAAAUUACAAUAUUAAACUUUACAUAGAAAAACUAAAUAGUAUUGUAGUUAAAUUGCACUUGUACAAAGGUUACAACUUUUUCAUUAAAUUAUUUUAGAUUACUGAAAUUAUUAGAUAAGAAUGAUAAAAUUAUAUAUCAAAUACAAAAGUAUAUAGAGUGACAACUGAACAGUCACUUCGAAGAAUAUACACAACCCUACCGCUUGCUUAACUAGCGGCAUCUAAACACUAAUAAAUUUUUGUUUCUAUUGACUAAAAAUUUUUUGAAUAAAAAAGAUAUUGACUAAAAAUUAAAAUAAACCAUGAAAUUUCUUUGAGGUUGAAAGAUUUUAUUUAAAAUUUUUUUUUGAAUAAUAAUUUAUUUGGUCUUUUAUUUAUUUUUUAUUUUUGUAAUCUUUAAAUUUACGUUAUUUGUCAAAUUACUCCAAAACAAAUGGAAAAGUUAACUUUUUUUAACUUUGCUAAUGUGGCAUACACGUGGAUUGUCACGUGAAUGCCAAGUUAGCAAUUUUUUUUAAAAUUUAAAAAGUAAAAAUUAUUAAAUUAUUUUAAAAUUUAUUAAAUUUUUUAGAAUAUGUAAAAAUAUAAUUAAUUGCUAAUGUGACAAUUCACAUGUAUGUCACAUCAAUAAAAUUAAUAAAUACUAAUUUUUUUAUCUAUUUUAGGUGAUUUGACAAACAAUACAAUUUCAAGAGUUAAAAAGAGAUAAAUAAUUAAAUAGAGAGCUAAAGUAUAAAGUCUUUCCACUUUGUUGCUUUAGAAAUGAUUGAAAAUUUUAUAUUAUUUAAAUAGAAAACAAACAAUCUUCUAAUUAUUAAUUAAAAUAUAAUUUAUUUAAAUCAUUUAAUUAAUUUUUAAUUAAAUAUUUUUCUUAAUCUAAUUUUAGUUUUGUUACAAUCACGACAAUUUCACCAUAAAAGAAUCUAUAAAAAAAUAUAUUUAAUUUUUUUAUUCCGGAUAAGUAAUGAUUAAUUAAUUUAAUCUCAAUUUUAAAAUUUAAUUAUUUAAUUAUAAUUAAUUAAAUAAUAAUUUUAAAAAUCUUAAAAUAAUUCUCAAGUCAUUUCUAUUCAUUUUUGUUCAUUUCUAUCCAUUUAAUUUUAUAUACAAUUUAUUUUUUAUUUCAACCAGCUAACUAUUUAAUAACUGUAAAAUACAACGUAGAGAUCAAUAUAUGGAAAUAUAAAUUUUAAAUUUUAAAUAUUUUUUGUUAUAUAAAUUAUUAUUUGAAGUAUGAAAUGUUAUUUUCUUAGCAAAGAGACUAGUGUUGGGAACAUAUCCACUCACUAAUUUUUCGUGACUGUUAUAAAUUGAAGGGACAACUAUAAAAAUAGUCACUCAGUUAUCAUAUUUCUAUUUUGGUCACUCGAGUUUAAAAUUUUCUAUUUUAGUCACUAAUGUUAUCAAAAUUUAAUAUUUUGGUCAUUCUUCCAUUAAAUCACUAAUAGUGGUCUUUUUUUAUUGGAAUAAUAACAAAUUUAACCCUCUAAUAUUUAUAGAUUCCAUCAAUUUAGCCCUAAAUCUAAAAAAUUCAACAUUCAUAUUAAUAUUUAUAGAUUCUAUCAAUAUUAGUAAAUCAUUUUUAAUGAAUUUUACAUUUUUGAAAUUAUUUUAAUUUUAAUCUAGUUUAGCUAACUCGAGUGUUAAUUUUUGAAACUGUUAAAAUUUCUAAAUGUUACUAUUAUUGAUGAAUAAUUGAUGAAAUAAGUAUUACUUGAUUAGAUUUUUCUACUUAGAUAUGAAAAAGGAUUAAUUGUCAAUUAUCAAUUCCAAAUAAAAAAAUUAUUGAUAUUUUCUAUUAUGAAAAACCAUUCUCAAUGUGUUGUAUCGUUGAACAAGUAAUUUUUACUUCUAUUGUGGCAAAUUCAACGGAGGGAGUUAUCUUCUUAUUUCUACCGUAAAAAGUUUCUCAAUAUAUUCCAUUGGGUGAAAAUUUUGAGUUAGAUAAUUAGAGUGCUUCAAAAUCUCAUGGCAAUCAACAAAUUAUGUGAACGUGUGUGAAAAUAGGAAGGAUAUUAGUCUUAAGCAAACAAAAGUUUAGAUGACAAUUCCCAUGAUACUCGUUGGAUAAUUCAGUCAUCUUUUUUAUGGAAUGUAAACUUUUCUAAAUGAAAGGAAAGAAAAGCUUGGGCAAUUCAAUUUAAGUAGUUCACUUCUAAUUGCCUAUCUCCACUACUUUAGUAUACUUCAAUCAAUAAUUUCUCAAAUUACUAUAAGAAUUAAUACCUUUCAAGGAGAGGGUAUAACAUUUACAACACUAUCUUUUUCUUAAGGCUUAGAUAUAACCUUUCCCUCUAGCUUUUAUAGUUGUUAUAUAGUCGUUGGCAAGUCAUGUCUCGAGACAAUCUAUCAAUUGUCUCUAGACACACUGCAUAAUAUCUCAAGACAAGCAGCUCCUAUCAAUCGGUACAAGCUAGUACGAACUAGUAUAAGUUAGUAUUGACUGAAACGAGCUAAAACAUACCGGAAUGGUCGAAACACAUCAAAAUCUUAAUUGUCGAAACCUUUUUAUUUUUGUAAAAGGAUCGACUUGGAUUUUGAAAAACGAAAACGAAUAUGUGAGUCACCACCAAUCCUUUUUGAUGAGGUGUGAUCAGAUCACCUUGAAAAGUGGUUGUUUUUAAUAAACGAUUUGAUUUAUCAAAACAACGAUUUUGGUCCACAAAAUUUAGAAAGAUGGGUUUGGGAGUCGGUUACGUACGAGGAAAGAUUAGCAUCCUCGUAAUGCCCAAAAUUGAUACCUAAUUUAUUACUUAGUGUCUUAGUGUCGAAAAUUAAUAAUUUUGAAGAGAUUUAAAAUACGAUCCUUUGUUAAAAAUUAAAUUUUUUCGAGAAAGGGGCAUAUUUCACGUUAAUCAAGAUAGAGAAUUACGUCCCGUAAGUUAGGACACAAUGUCUUAAACCCCGAUACGAGAAUGAAUGCUGAAAAAUUUACUUAUUUGAAAGAUAUUCAAUUAUCUCGAUUUUAGAAAAGGAAUUAUGUUCGGUAAGUUAGAAUACGAUUUUUUUAUUAAUUCUCGAGAUUGUUAAAAAACUUUAUGUUAAAAAAGGGUUAUUACAUUUGGAUUUAUCGAGAAAAUCAAAACCUCGUAAGUUAAGGAACAACUUUUCGAAUUCCAAAAUGCGAAAUAUUGCUUAUUACAAAAUAUGUAUUGGGUAAUGAUUAAUGUAAUAUGAAUUGGUAGAAAUAAAGUACGGUGUUAAUACGCAUAACAAAAUAAUAAGUGCGUUAAUGUGAAUGACAAUAUGGAGAAUAAAAUAAAAUAAACAAGUCAAAAAAAAUAAGGAUAACGAACUAAAAAUUUAAAGCUAAAGACCUAAUAUUAUAGAAAUAAAUAAAUAUUGUAUAAAAAUUUAAGAAUAAUAAUAUUAAUAAUAAUGAUAAUGAUAAUAAUAAUAAAAUUUAAAGUUUUUCUAAAUUAUAUAAAAAGACAUAAAUAAAUUGAUGAUAAAAUAAAUGUAUAUAAAAUAUUUAGGUAAAUAAAUAUAUAAAAAAAAUAUAAUAGAAAUAAUAAUGCAAAACUCAUUAAUUUAAUAAUAUGGUAAUAAUGACGAGUAAAUAAAUAAAAUGGGGAAAAUAAUAAUAGUAAUAAUAUUAAAUUAAUUAAAUAAUAAAAUAGCAAAAAAAACAAAAAAUGACUAAAUCGAAGCUUAAAACAAAAAUUUGGGACAAAUCAAAAAUAAAUAAGAAAGAAAAGGACCAAGUUGAAUGCGCGAAUAAUAAGGAUGAACCAAAUGAGAAAUAAUCCCCACCCUCCAAAAUGGCGGCCAGAAGGCCAAAAAAUUCUCUUUUUCGUGCAAUCAGAAAAAGAUAAACCUUCUUUGUGUUCUUUUUUUAUGUGUAUAUAUGUAAAAAUAGCUUCGAAAAAAAAGGAAGAAAAUAAAAUAAAAAUAAUGAAAAAAAAAACAAAAAGGAAGAAACACCUUAAUCCUGAUUCAGUUUGCUUUGUAUUUCUUGUUUUUUAUUUUUUCUUGUUUGAAUCAGUUUUUUUUUUUUUUUUUGAAAAAAUCCCCUGCCUGUAGCCAAUAUACAAAUUGUUCUUAUUACUUUGCGUGUUUGCUUCACUUUUGUAGGGUAGUUGAUGGGCGGUGGAGCAAGUGGUCGCAGUGGAUGGGCGAUGGAGGCAAGUGGCUGUCAGAGGUGGCAGAGGCUAGGUGCGACAUAACAGGGUUAGGGGCGAGGGUUUCUGCUAAAGAGUUCAGGUUUUGGGCCAUUAGGGCUUUUUGUAAUUUGGGCUUGUUGGAUGUAAUUUGGGCUUGUAGGGCUUUGGGUGUUGAAUUCUGUAAAAAAUUAGACUUUUUUUUAUUUUUUUGGUAUUAUUUAUUUGAUUUUGGAUCCAGGCAAAUUGGGCCUGCUACAUUUACCAUAAUGAAACCUAUACUACUUCAUAUUGGUUGAAGACCAGAGAGAUACGUAUCGAGUGUGUCAAAUGUUGAUGUCCCUUUUAUGUACUGUUUUAUAUUUUUGUUCUUUUAAUAAGGUUUGUUUGGCUUAUAAAAAGUAUUUUUAUUAAACUAAAAUUUGCUAUGUUUUGAAAUUGGGCAUUUAAUGAUCUGUACCUAUAUUCUUUAAAAAAAAUAUAUUGUACCAAUACAAUUUCAUAAAAUUAGUACAAAUGAUCAUAAAAAAUCAGCAUAACUUACUUGAACUUAAAUACAUUGCUAAUUGAUAUAAUUGGGAACGGUUAUGCGGUUGAUAAUAAUCUUUUUGAACUUCAUUUAAUACAUGAUUUAUACAAGUAAUAUUAGCAACUUAAGUUUCGAUAUGUCCUGCGAGAACAUAAUAGACCGACAGAUUGCAUGACCAAAGUUGUUCCUAAUAAUCUUAAUAGGUUAACAACUUUUGAAGACCCAGCUGAUCAUGCUCGAUCUUUGUUAGAAGAAGAUGCUCAUCGAGCAAUGAUUAAUAUAGACUAUCAUCAACCUAAUUGUAGCUAAUUCUUUGAACUUGUUUCUUUUUUAAAAAAAUUCACAAAAUGCAGAAAUAACUAUUAAUAAACUUUAUAGGAAAACAGAGCAUCUGUAUAAAUAUUUAUCAAAGACAUUGCUAGAAAGCAAAGCUUAUGUUUAUUUUAAUCAAUUUAACAAUGGCCUCUUCAACGAACGCGUUGCAUAUCCCUUGAUAACUUUACUUUGAUCUUCUUUAACUUUGUAACAACCUCUUUCAUAUGAAGCCUCUCAUUUGGUAACUCUGUAGAACAUUCUAAGCCAACUUGCAAAAUGGAUAAGGCACAAUUCUUGACUUUUAAAUCUUCCCUUCCAAUGGUGCUCAACAACUGGGGAUCUACAACUUGAUUUCGCGAAGAUGAUAUCGACUCUAUCACCCAACUCUUCAAGCUUCUUUCUCCUUCAAACAUUUCAUCUGUGGGCUUUUUUCUUGUGAUGAUUUCCAUCAAAAGAAUACCAAAGCUAUACACAUCACCUUUUGUCGAAACAAUUCCUUCGAUUCCAUAUUCUGUAUGAAUAUAAAAACAACAUUAUGAAUAUUCAAAGAUAUCUUGAUAAUGAAAAAUUUGUAUAAAAUAUCCGAAACAUUAUAUGCUUGCAUGUUAUAAUUGAACUGGGAUUUAAUCUAGUUGCUUCCUUAAAAAGUCACAUUUAAUAUGUUUGAAACUCAAAUCUUAACAUAUAUGAUCCCUUUUGUUAUGCACAUGCUACGCUUACAUUGAAAAUGGAAAAAUAAAAAUGGAGUUUGAUUAGAAGUAUCACCUGGUGCCAUAUAUCCAAAUGUUGCCAUUGUCAUGGUUUGUAUCAUUGAAACCUCUUCACGUAAGAGUUUCGCGAUGCCAAAAUCACUCAAAUGAGCAACCAUAUCUUCAUCUAAUAGAACAUUGUUGGGUUUUAAAUCACAGUGAACAACGGGUGUUGCAUUACCAUGGUGGAGAUAUUCCAAUGCAGAUGCAACAUCUAUCAUUAUGUUCAACCUUUGUAGGAUAUCCAAAUAUUGGUUGUUGGAAUACAACCAUUUAUCAAGACUCCCACUAGGCAUGAACUCAAGCACCAACGCUUUGAAAUUAAGAUCAUUAGAGCAACUGCUUAUUACUUUGACUAAAUUUCUGUGACGAGUGUUGCAGAGAACAUCACAUUCAACAUCAAAGCUCUUAAAAGCUCCUUCUAACUCUAACUUGAAGACCUUCACCGCAAUUACCGUCCCAUCCUGGAGAUUCCCUUGGAAUACUGAACCAUAACUUCCAUUACCAAGCAACCUACUAUCAUUGAAUCCAUCAGUAGCUUGACGAAGCUCGUGGUAUGAAAACCGUCUCCACGUUCCUAAAGGUAUCAUGUCUUCUUGAGUUGGCAAUUUGUCUUUCCUCCUGUAUUGCAAGAUAAUGAUUAUCAGAGCCACAACCAAAAUUGUGGAGGCAAUUGGCAGAGCUACAUAUAUUAGGAGUUUAGUUUUUGCCUUGGAAUUUCUAAGAGGUCUAGUUUUGCAGUUUGGAACAUGAAGUCGAGCUGCACCACACAAGGCUUCAUUCCCCUUAAAUGAUUCGAUUGUGUAGUUUUCAAAUGAUCCUCC